rnacentral:lncRNA from 1 species
AUGGCUACCUUGCUGAUGGCGACGACAGGUGAUGAGGAGGAAACUAUAGUUAGCUGGCGGCGCACGUCUUUAACGUUCUCGGACGGACUUCUAGGUCUGAGGCCUGUGCGGGGUGAUAGAGCUGGAAUGGAAGACGGGUGGAUCGGAUCGGAGUCGGAGUUCGGAGAUUGGAAGAGGGGUGGGGCUUUAUAUUAGCAACAGCAAGACAGGCCUGGGGAGAAAGUGAUAUGGUGGACAAGCUGCUAGCUGCUGCGUUGCUUCUUCGCGGGGCAUACAAGUUGCCAAUAGAAAACUAGCUAGCUAGUACGUACGUACUAUUCCUGUUUGCAGCUAGUUCACGUUCACGUUCAGCGUUAGCGGCGACUCGAACGUGAGCGCUUCGGGUCGCCGGUCGCCAGUCGCCAGUCGCCAGUCGCCAGCCACCUGAGCUGCAGAGAUCCGGUGGGGCGAAGCCUUUGGCAUGUGCACGCUCGCGCGACCGCCGACGCCAAGUAGGUGACGUGUGAACACCAGACGUCUGUUUGGUUGGGCUAUGGCGGUGAAAAAAAACUGCUGUGACCUGUGAGCUAUGAAAAAAACUGCUGUGGGCUGUGAGCCGCUACCGGAGUCGACCGCUUUGCCGAGUGCUUGAAGCAAGCGGCAAAGUCUUUGCCGAGUGUAACACUCGGCAAAGAAUGCUCGGCGAACUGUACAUCGGCAACGGCCUCUUUGCCGAAUACUUUUUGUCGGGCACUCGGUAAAGAAUUUGGUACUCGGCAAAGAAAAGUCGCCGUCACGGCGCCAAGUGACGGUGACGGAUCCUUUACCGAGUGUCUUCUUUGGCACUCGGCAAAGAGGCCAAUUUUGCCGAGUAUCUUCUGCCAUGGCCCUCGGCAAAGACGGCUUCAGUGGGCCCCACCGCUAGUCCCUGUGCCGAGAGCUCUCGUAGGCACUCGGCAAAGGAGGCUUCUUUGCCGAGUGUCUAGUGGACUGGCACUCGGCAAAGAGUCCUCCAGUGGACCCCUUUGCCAGUCCCUUUGCCGAGUGCGCUGGGCGGCACUCGGCAAAGGUAGCUUCGUUGCCGAGUGCCUUGACCACAGCACUCGGCAAAGAAGGCUUUACCGGUUCCCAGGUUUCCUUCUUUGCCGAGUGCCAUGGUCAUAGCACUCGGCAAAGCUACCCUUUGCCGAGUGUUACACUCGGCAAAGUGACCAGGAAGUCCCUUUUUUAUUUGUUUUUGCUGUUCCAUCCAAACAAACAAAAGAUAUAUAUCAUUCACAUCACAUUAUAUAUCAAUCGCAUCACAGAAUCAACACAUUUAUCAUCAACACCAUAUAUAUCACAAAUAUCACCACAUAAAUCAGGUUUCACAGCACAUAAGUCUCACUAAGUAUCUCACAAGACCAAGUAUAACUAACAUCACCAACACUCACAAAUAUAAGUCUGGAUCAUCACAAAAUAGGUCAUCAACGAGGUGGGCAUCUGGACUGGUUCGGCGAAGGGCUGGACGAAGCGUGAGGGUUGUUUGACGCCGCUGAUUGACCCUGCACAGAGAAGAGAUUGCAUGUGUGAGAACAUAUGAAUAUAUAUCAUGCAAUACUAAAAUUUUGAUACUCACAGGAGUAGUGAACUCAGCAGGGUCAGCUGCAGAGAACAACGGAGGUGGUGGAGCAUGACCCUGUGCGGCGCCAAGCACUACACGACGGUUCACUUACAGCGACCUACGGUUGGUUGCUAAAAUGGCCUUCGGCGACCUACGGUUGGUCGCUAAAAACUUUUAGCGACCCAUAAGGAUGGUCGCUGUAAGUGCCGUCGCUAAAGGCUUUAGCGACCGACAUCUUUUUAGCGACCGACCGUCCGUUGCUAAUAUUGUACAUUUAGCGACCAACUGUGGGUUGCUGUACUAUAAAUUUAGCAACCAACCGUAAGUCGUCAUACUAUACAUUUAGCAACCAACAAAAAGUCGCCCUUUUUACAGUUGUUAUUAAAAAUAAUAUACAUUUAAUUAAGCACCGCAAAUCACAGAUUUUUAUACACAAAUCAUAAAGACAUACACAGUUAAUCAGUAUACCACAGUCAUAGAUCCAUCACAUAAACACAAAAGCACCACAAUUAUAUAUUCACAAAAGCAUCACAAUUAUAACAUCAUUCACAACUAGAUCAUUUACAAAUAGCUAGCUAGAUCACAAUAAAAAUGCACAGGACCGAUCUACAAGUGCUGUUUAAAUCUUUUAAUUCUAGAAGGAAGAAUCUUCAAGCAGAAAAUACACUGAACAAAGUCCUUUGUAGUGACAGUGUCUGGCCACCUCCCAAACUUCCAUCCAGGGUCCUGUGACCUUGCCUGCUCUUCGGAUCAGUUGCUUGUGCACGAAGCUCAGGAGACAGCGCUGCAAUGUCCUUCUCAGCAAGUGCCGAAGAAUCUGCAGCUGCCGAAGAAUCUGCAGUGGCCAACGAUGUCGACACAGGCUCGGUGCUGUCAGCAACAGAGGAUGCAGGGGCUCCACCAACCACAUGAGACUCAGGAAAGAUGACCUCAACGUUACCAGCACCCCGGCGGCUACCAUGGAUCUCUGUACAGAUCAAAGGAAGGGAAAAACGACCACUUUUUGGCACCACUUAACUCAUACAGAGUUACAGACCAACGACAGUCGGCACUCAGCACCACUUAACUCAUUCAGAUGAAGAGCAGACCAGAAAACAGAAGAGAAAAGAGGGAAACUUGGGGCGGGGGACCUUCACUUGAGGAGCUCAUGUUGUGGUUGCCUUGCCGGAGAACAGGAGCCAUCAUCGGUCAACUGGAAUAGGAUCAACUGGAACAGGAGUCAUUUCAUCAAAAAUUCAUAUCGAAGCUAAUCCUAACAACACUCCGAAACAUAAACGACAUACCACUUAAUUUUCCUCCUUGUUGUUCUCAAAUCUGAAAGGGCGAGAAAAUCUGCAAGGGAGCCACCAUCCAUGUAUUCCAAAACAAUAGAAAUGGCGCCAUUGAAAUAGAAACACUGAUAGAACACAACAACAUAUUGGCACUGUGUUGAUAAGUUUAUCUUCAACUCCUUGGCAAUCUGUUUGCGUAUACUCUCGUCAAUAUUUAGUUGAAUAACCUGCAAACACAGUGGCAGACGAUGAAGGAGGACCAUUUACAACAGUUAGGAAGAUUACACAAAGAAGAUACUCCCUCUGUUCUUUUUUAUUUGUCGCGUUUAGUUCAAAAAUAAACUAGCGGACGACAAAUAUUCGAGACCGGAGGUAGUACUACCUCCGUUGUCGAAUAUUUGUCGUCCGCUAGUUUAUUUUUGAACUAAACCGCGACAAAUAAAAAAGAAUGGAGGGAGUACAAUGCAGAGAUCGUUUUAAAGUCUUGACUGUAAAGAACCAUAAAUAAGCAGCAUCAAAGAAUGAUUGCGUCAGAAAUACCUUCAGAGCAAAAAACUGGCCAGUAAAUUUAUGACGGACCAAUUGCACAUUUUCGCUGCUACCUUUCCCGAUCACUUUUAUAACGUCUAGAUCAUCUAAGCUCAGUUGACUAUCCAGUGGCUCUAUAGGAGGAGCCUGAAGAACAUUUUUUAGCAAGUCAGAAAAAAGCGUGGGAACAGUAUCAAAAAUUUUUAAUAGGUAAAUAAAAAGUAAAACACCAAUAAUGGUAUUGUUAUGACUAGCAUCACCUACCAGCAGCACCAACGCAUCCGUUGCGCAAUUAUCCUUUGAUUGGUUUAUUUCCCAAUUAGCUCCCAUAAAAAUAGGUGAUGAGAUCUUAGAUUGGUGUAUCAGUGUGUAUUAGGAAGGGAUAAAUAUCCCUAAACAAUUGUUAAGAAGAUCAAGCAAAGCAACAAAAUUGUUGUUGGGCUUCUCCCAUGCGCCAUCCUCUCUCGCUCACACGCAUCCUCACGGCGACCAUCCGCUGCCGGGGGUUCAAGUCCUGGCCACCGGUCACAUGCCCCUACACCCUCUGCAGUCGCCCUAGGAUCCUCCAUCCUAUCAGGUAUGACAAGAUUUUCCCCACUAUUUGUGUCUCAUUCAGAACGAAUUUCCCUACACCCUCUGCAGCCGCCCUAGGAUCCUCUGCAGACGCCCAGUUCCACGAACAAACAAAGCUCAACGACGAGAUCAACCCAUCUCUACCUGGCCUGCCAAAGCAAUCAUCCAUACCCCCAGCGCUUCCUCAAGAGAAGCGGCUACAAGAGCCGAUUUUCGCUAUCCCGAUCCCACGACGAUUUCCGAACGGGACGACGCCGCGAUUCCUAGUCCUUAUUACAGUGGGCGAUUCUUAGUCCUUAUUGACGCCUCCCUCCCUCCGCGAGACGAUGCGGAGGCCGUCCUUGUUGACGUGCAGAUCCCCGUCCGUGAACGUCCCGCUGUGCGUCCUGUGAUCCGGAACCCACUCAAAGGUUGAGAGCCCCAGUAAGUAACCAGCGCCGGGCAAUUAAUUAACCGACAGAAAAGGAAAAGGAAGCCAGCGAGGAGGGGGAGCGGAGAGCGUACAGGAACUUGCCGAAGGUGGUCUCGUGGGACGGCAGCGUGAGCUUGAUCGGCUUCCGUGGCGUCGCCAUUGGAAGUGCGUCUGGCGGCGGCGGUGCCGGGUUCCUCUUCCUCGCCGGAGCUCGGAGGAAGGGGAGGCGGAGUGGACGGGCUGGUCGGUCGUGCAGCAGCAGAGCUGGCGGUCUCCUGGCGUCGUGCUCGGGGUGCAGGUGGCGCGUUGGGCGCGUGCAGAGAGAGGGAAGAUGAGAGAGUGGGUGGCGGCUGAGGGAGAGGAAGUAGGAGGCGGCAGCCACAGGGAGGAGCUAGGGCGCGCGCUAGGGUUAGGUGUUGGGCCCCUAGUGGGCCAAUUAGGUUAGGGUUUGUGUGUUUUUUUUCGAAUUUCCUUUUUACUGUAACAAAAAUAUAUAUAUACUCUCUAAAAAUUAUAAAAAUCUCAAAAAUAAUAGUUUAUAAAUAAAAUACAUAAUUUUCGAAUAGAUUCUACUUAAAUCAAACGUGUGUCACAAUAAAACAAUAAAAGUGAGAUUUUUGCAAAUAAUUAUAUACAAAAUGAUUAACCUUAAAAAUUGAGUCAAACGGAUUCAAGGUUCAAAACCUUAAAAAUCCUUUUUUUACAAUUCGUUUUCUUUACCAUAAUUCUUUUUUUCUUUUCUAUAAUUCUUUUUUCUUUACUACAAUUUAGCGAUCAAUGUUUAAUUGUUUUAAUUAUUUUUUAGUCACUAACAUCUACAGGUACGUUCAGGCUAUAAGAUUUGAUAGUGAUCCUUACUCUAUAGCGACCCACCGCUAGUCCCCAAAGACAUCUAUAGCGACCAACCAUAAGUUGUUAAAUUUUUAGACUUUUAGCGACCAACCGACCGUUGCUACAAAAGGUUUUAGCGACUGACCGUCGGUCCCUAACCUUUAGCAACCAACAGUUGGUACCUAUUAAGGGUCGCUAAAAAUCAACCGUCGUGUAAUGAAGGCUCUGCAUGUACGCGAACAUCUCCGCCAUCCUCUUCUCCAGCUCCUCACGUUGCCUCCUCUCAUCAUCUAGCUGAGUCUGUAAUAUUUCGCCCUAAUGUUACGAUAAUGCAAAGAGAAGAUAUAUAAUAAUCAAUGAACGAUGAAUAGAUAAGGAAUAACCUAGAGUUGCUGGAUACGAUGCUGUGAGCUGUCCUGCCGAGGUCGUAUGGCUGGGCUCGCGCUCGUGCUCCUUGCUCGCACCUGAGAUAGAGUGGGAGUGGAGGACGAGUCAAUUGCCCCGUCGGCAAUCCAGUACCGCCCAUGCCUCUUGCCUCCUCCGACCCUCAUGAGGACAUCUCCGUCGAUGUCCUCGGUCCUCGGAUCGUAAUCUGGCCCAUGGACCUCCUUGGCCAUGGUGGUGUACUCACUGAGGCGGCUGUGGACGGCGGGGUUGGUGUACGCCUCGGGCCCGUCAUCCUACUUGCUAUGGCGGGGACGGGCGGCGCGGGUAGUGGUCGGGUGGCGCGCGCGGCAAGGCGGCGUCCGGGUGGCGAGCUAUGUUAGGUAACAUAUUUGAACUGCAAGUGGCUCGAAACAUGGAAAAUCGUGCAUGGAAAAAUGAUAUCUAUGUUAGGUAACACAAGUUACGACCGAUUUCAGGAGCGGAGCGGAAACUUCGAGCAACAUGCUCACUAAACAUGGUCGUGAACUUGCCAUCCACAUGUUUAAAAAUUGUAUAAAACACAAACAAAGUCAUAAAAUCAUAAAACUUGUCCACGUGUCAUGAUAUCAUAUGUACAGGCUGUGAUAAAAAAUUUAGAAUGUUUGGAGAAAGUUGUGAGACACUAUAUGUAGAAACCUAAGAGAACUACACAUGAAAUCAUAGAGUUUCAAUGUGGAUCUCUUAUGUUUAUACACAUAGCGCAUCAUAGUUUUCUCGAAAUUUUUUCAAUUUUUUUAUCACAGCCUGUACAUAUGAUAUCAUGACACGUGGACAAGUUUCAUGAUUUUCUGACUUUGUUUGUGUUUUAUACAAUUUUUAAACAUGUGGAUGGCAAGUUCACGGCCAUGUUUAGUGAGCAUGUUGCUCGAAGUUUCCGGUCCGCUCCUGGAAUCGGUCGUAACUUAUGCUAAGUAACAUUAAUAUCAUUUUUGCAUGCACGGUUUUCGAAGUUUCGAGUGACCUGCAAUUCAAAUCUGAUUUUUCCGAAGAAAUUCAAAUAAACGAACUAAAUCUACUAACGAUUGAAAACUCUGUUAUAAUUGUCCACAAAUGAUACAUAUAGGUCUACAUAGUGUAGGAACGUACCACAAAAAGUUUGGGAGACAAAAUAAAAAAAAUAAAAAUAUACUUUGCCGAGUGUCUAGAGAAGACACUCGGCAAAGCGUCCUUUGUCGAGUGCCCAAUAUUUAGCACUCGGCAAAGACUGACGGUCGUCAGCUGUAGAUGGCCGCUAACGGCCCUUUGCCGAGAGCCAUCUUUGCCGAGUGUUUGACUCUCGGCAAAGCAGUCUUUCGAUAAAUUAGGAUAGAUAUUUAUGCAAUUCAAUACACUACGUAAAAAUCUGUUACAUGCUGCAAGCGCAAAAUUAGGAUGACAAAAAUGUAUGAUGAAAGGAAAUGGAUUGACGUGUAUGGAAACAAAAAUUCGUAUUUAAUGCUUUAUUUUCUCCAUAAAUAUAGGAUAUCUCCAACAGUCAUGCAGCUAGACUCGUGAGGAUCAGUUUAUGAUAUACACUAAUACUAAUUAUGCUACACAGUGUAGAUAUUUAUACAAUUUGGUACACUGCGUAAAAAUCUGUUACCUACUGCAUGCGCACAAAAUUGGGAUGGCAAAAAUGUGUUGUUAUGCAUGGAAACAAAAAAUCAUAUUUAAUGCUUUAUUUCCUCCAUAAAUAUAGGAUCGCUCUAACAGCCAUGCAACUAGACUCGUUAGAACCAGUUUAUGAUAUAUACUUAUACAAAUUAUGUUACAUGGUGUAGUUAUUUAUGCAAUGUGGUACACUGCGUAAAAAAUAUGGCAUGUGAUUCACUGGUGGACGCAUCUCCAGGUUCGAGUGUAAAAAUCUUAAGUUUUGAGCAUAAAACCUCUCAGUUAUAAGCGUAAGUACCGAACCAAUGUGAGAGGUUGGUAUCUCUGGUGGGUUGUAUUCACGAUUCUAUUUUUAUGGCUGUUCCAAAAAAUAUGGAAGUCGCAUCCAUGCGGUUUCUAUUUUUAUGCAGAUCAAAAAAUUAUGGUGGAUCGUUGGAGUUUCCAUUGCAUGCGCGAAAAUUUUGGAUGAUAUUUUCGUUUUCACUGCACGCAUGCAAAAAAAAUAGGAUGACAUGGUUCACGCAGAGCAUAAAUUCUUAUACAAAGUCGCAUAAAUACACACAACAUGUAGCAAAAUUGAAAAAAAAACUAAUGUCGGUUCAACUAACAGCCCCCGCGGGAAUUAGAGACAGUUUUAUGGCAACAUAAAAUCAUAUUCAUCGUCAUAAAAAUCAUCAUUGGAAUGCAUAAAUAGUGUAAGUAGCAGACAUAAAAUAUAAUCAUCGAUGGCAUAAACAUGGAUCGGAUAGUUCGUCGCCGGAGGACGAUCCCGAGGUCGCUAGAUCAAAGGACGUCGCCGAAGCCACUGGAUCAGAGGAGUUGGUCGUCGAAGGACACCAUAGCCACCCAUGCCUCGUGUCGCCGCCAUCGCCAGAGACGAUCGUGCCUCAUGCGACCGCCAGAGCGACCCGCGUCUCUCGUGGCCACCGCCACCGCUGCCGACGCCUACCGUGCCUCGCGCAACCGCUUUUGCCACUGGGCCUAGGGUGCGCUGUUGCCGCUCGUCCACUUCAGGAGCGCCAUCACCGCUUGCCCGUCCAUCUCAGGAGCAUCGCCGUCGCUCGUUCCUGGUGGAGCGCCACCGUCGGUUGCCAGCCUCAGGGCAGCACCGCCGCUCGCACGGCCAAGGGAACCGCCGCCGCCGAUCGCACGGACGAGGGAACCGCCUCUUAAACCUAACCCCUGGCGGCGUGGUUUUGUAGCAGCCCGAACCUGGUUCGGCUAAACCGGAUGGCACCAUUGAGUUAGGGCUUCCUCUAGUUAUUGGAAGGUCAGGGCUCGUAAUAUAUAUAUAUAUAUAUAUAUAUAUAUAUAUAUAUAUAUAUAUAUAUAUAUAUAUGUGUGUGUGUGUGUGUGUGUGUGUGUGUGUGUGUGUGUGUGUUUUGAUGGUUUUUUUAAAAAGUAGGGAAAUUACCACUAGCAACUAAGUUUAGAAAACCGCUAGUGGAAAAAUAUUUCCAUUGGCAGUUAAUAUAAGAGAACCACCCAUGAACAUCUAUUUCCAUUGCAAAUUAGUUAAGAGAAUCACAAGUGGAAAUCUAUUUCUACUGGCGGUUGAGUAAAGAGAACUGCCAGUGGAAAGAUCUAUUUCCACUGGCCCCUAGCGCUGGCAGUUCUGAAAAACUAUACUGGAAAAUAUUUACAUUGGCGGUUAAUAUAAGAGAACCACCCAUAGACAUCCAUUUCCACUGGCAGUUUCGUUAAGAGAAUCGCCAGUGAAAAUCUAUUUCUACGUGCGGUUGAGUAAAGAGAACAGCCAGUGGAAAGAUCCAUUUUCACUGGCCCUAAUGCUGGCGGUUCUGAAAAAUGCAAGUGAAAAUAGGCUGUGAGCCACCUCUCACUAAACUUAGGUCCAAAACUCUAGAGUCCAAACAUAUCAAAACUUUGUAGUUGAUAACCUUUUAGUUUGAGUGAUUAAUAUUUUUUAUUUGAGAUUGUUUAAAGUGUAAAAUAUGUGAUAUAAAAUUCGUAGAUAUGUAGCUAGAAGAAUAGUGUCACUUUUAUGGCUACAUUGUUGCGUAGGUACAAAUACUUGAGAGAGGACGCUGAGGUCCUAAGUUUGAAUUCUGAAAAACACACACACACACACACACAUAUAUAUAUAUAUAUAUAUAUAUAUAGUUUAUAUAUUAAGAGCCCUGGGCUUCCAAUAAUAAAGGAAGCCCAGGCUAGUCAACAUGGGCAUUUUGGUUGAACCACACCGAGUCAACUGGGCCCAGUCACGGCGCCGUUACCCCCGUGAACCAGCCACCUCUCCCACGUUUCCUCUUUCUAAAACCGUACUCGCGCAUUCAACGGAGUUAAACCAGCGUCCAUUUGAAGAAAACCCCAGCCGCGCAGAGUUUCCUUUCGUGGGAGGCGACUCCCCUGGCGAUUUCAGCGCUUCCAAACCAGCGCAGCGCCAAUCCUCCGCCGCUCCAAUCCAGCGCCAUUCCAUUACUCCUUACAUCCUUCAAUCUCCCAGCAUUGGAGCCGAUCAAAGAAGUUCCAGGUAAUCCCAGAUUGAAAUACCUCGAGUUUGCCGUCUAUUUUUUGAGCCCUAUCGGUCGAUUUUGAAGUGGAUUUGAUGGUAACCCUUAUUAUCCAGCUAAAUGUGUGAUCUGUAUCCGCUUAUACAUCUCUAUAAUCGGGUUAUUUCAUCGCGCAUUGCAUCUGUUUUAUGUUUAGGAGCCCCGAUAUUAGGGUAUGUGUACUAUUCUGUAUUCCUACUAUCGCCCGACAUUCUGUAUUUAGGCAAAGGUUGUGGAUUAGGUAUUUACUGAUUAGUUAGCAGAUAGUACUUUUUAUACAACCCAAGUAAUAUAUAUAUGCUGUUUGUAUGUAAUAUUUAUGCAUAUUUUCAGUUCUGUUUAUGCACAUUCACCUGAUUCAUUUGUUUACACAUUUGGUUUAUUAUAUAUGCAUAUAGCCAGUACUCUUUAUGCACAUUUACUUUAAUGAUUUGUUUCACAUAUACUUUAUUAUCAAAUAUGCUUAUUUGUAUUUGAUAUAGAUGCAUAUCCUCAGUACUGUUUAUGCACAUUCACUUGAGUCAUUUGUUUAAACAUUUGUUUUAUUAUACAUGCAUAUAGUCAGUAUUGUUUAUGCACAUUUACUCCAACGAUUUGUUUCACAUACAUUUAAUUAUCUAAUAUGCUUAUUGUAUAUCAUUUAUAUGCAUAUCCUCCUUACUUCUUAUGCCCAUUCAAUUAAAUAAUUUUUUGUACACAUCUGUUUUAUUAUAUAUAAAAUAUACCCAUUGGAUUUAAUACAUAUGCAUAUUGGCAGUAAUGUGUAUGCUCAUUCAUACACAAUUUGUGAACAGGUAUUAAGCAUGUUUGAAUUGUUCUAUUUACUUGCAUAAUUAGUUUACACGCCUGUUAAUUAUAUAUAAAUACAUACAGAUACAGUUAUUUAAACAAAUGUUAUUUACAUAUUCAUGUUAUUUGAGAUAAAUGUUUUUAUUACUACUAACCAGUUAUUAAAAUAUGUUGUAUAGUUAGUGAUGCAUAAAGGCUUCUAUUUUAGUUAAAUGUAAAAGGUAGCUUAAGUCAUGUAAUUCCAUUUAGUACUAUAUAGUACGCAUUUCAGAUAGUUAUAGUAAAAAUUAGUUUUUUCUGGCAUAUAUUCUUGCAUAAAUCAAAGUAUUUAGAAACAACUUCCUUUUUCUACAGAUUUAUUCAUUAUUUAGUCAUGAAGUCUGUGGAUCGCCCGCCCAGUAAUCCAAAAAGAUUAACUAUUGAAUCCAGUCAGGAGGUUUUUUCAAUUGACAUUUCCAGACGUACAAGAUCCAGCAGCUCAGCUCACCAAGAUGAUAUUCCUCAAAAUCAGGAACAGAAUGAGCCUCAGCCAGCCCCAAUCCAUCGUGUUCGCAGAAAGGCUUUAGCUUGUCGUUUAAAAAGACAACCUCCUGUUCCAGCCGCUCUCUCUGACGACGACUUCAUGGAUGCUCCUUCGUUAAAGCGUCAAUUCAGUUCUGCAUCACCUUCUCCUCCAGACCAAAUCAGCUCAAAGAAGUUAAAAGUACCUUCUCCUCAAGUUCCGACUGUGAAAAGAAGCCCAAAGUAUAAUAUCAUUGCCAAAAAAAACUCUCCUAAAAAGAAGUCUCCUGUCAAAUCACAGGUAAUAUGUAUAUAUUUUAUGUUUAUUCAUGUGUUAAUCAUGGUGCCCAAUCAAUGUUGAAUUUCCCCCCACUUUACAUUUAUGCAUAUUAUUAUCAACAAAUACGGUGUUUAAUUUUUUCUAGUAUUUUAUACUAGGUGUUUACAAGCCUGUAAUAAAUAUAGUAUCAUUAGUUCUACCUAUAUAUAUACUUUCUGUAUUAAUGAAUAUUCAUUUAUGCUUCCAGAAAUUGAAUAUCCGAUGCAUUCCCUUGGAUGUUAUUGUAUCAUCAUGGAUAAUGAGCGAUCGGCAGCGUGAUGCCGUCGCUAGGUUGGGAUUUUCUAGCAUAUUUGAUUUGCGAACUGAUGCAUUGGAAAGCAGAUCACUUAUCAGGUGGUUGAUGGACAAAUUAGAUCCAAAUGACAUGACCAUACGCCCAGGGGCUGGCAAAGAACUUAAGAUAACAAAAGAUACGGUUCAUCUCAUUUUGGGGUUGCCAUGUGCCGGGGGAGGUAGAGAGUUUACUGAUUGGUACGGUGAAAUCGAUGCUGCUGCUAAUCUGAGACGUCAUCUCAAUGUCUGUAAAGAAGAAUUUGAUGUUGUCAAGCUUCAAGAGAAGAUAGUUCUUGGCAACGAUGAUGAGCUAUCAAUUAGAUGUUUUUUUCUCAUUCUAUUCAAUCGACUUCUGUUUCCUUCUGCUUCUUGGGGCAUUACAAACAAUGAGGUGCUGAUGACUUCAAACAUGGCCCGAAUGGCUGAUAUUGACUGGUGUCAACUAGUUUACACGGAUUUGUGCGAUGCUGCCGCAUGUUGGCAUAAAAGGAACAAAACUAACAUCACAGCAACAAUAUAUGGAUGCUCACUCAUUGUUUUAGUAAGUAAUUUUAUCUUGUUAACUGUGCAUAUACAUGGUAUGCAAAUAUUUGUUAUGUACUAAUUUUAUAUAUUUGUGCAUUCAUUUUUUACAGAUUUACUAUCUUGAUCACCUACAUCACCCUGCUGCUCCGGAUAACAAAUAUGGUACUCCACGCAUUAAGUUUUUUGACAAUGAGACCAUAAGACAGUUGGCUCGGGGUGACAGACGCCCCCCCCCCGUAAAACUGGUGAACCAUUCGGAUAUGCAGAGGUUAGACACAAAUAAUUUUUUUUUGUCCUGUAUGCAUAUGUUAAAAUAUUAUCACUGCUAACUGUUAUAUUUGCUUUUAUACAGUUUCGUAGCCGUUCAGAAACGUGUUACGUCAUUGCUCCAGAACGGCCUGCUUCUGCCGUUUUCAACAUCUAUGUGCCUCGUAUCAAGAAUUUGAUUGGACACAAGUUGCAAUGUUUGCCCUCCCUGCAGCGUCCAAUGUUUCAAUCAUUGUUUGAUGCUCAUGACAAAGAGGUGGAUAAAUACUGUGAUUCCCUACAGUCGAGCCAUCAGAUGAUUGUUUCGAAGCAGAUUGAACUCUCCGAAACAUUUGGUGAAAUGAUAGAUGAAGUUUUGAGAGCUGCAACGCAGCGUGAUUCACAGCCACAAGGUUUUAGUAUUUAUGUUUACUUUUUUUUUAAACUAAUCAAGUUCACUAUUUAUAAUGCUGUUAUAUUCAGUAACAACUAAUAUAUUACUAUAUGUUCCAAAUGUAGAUAACCCCCCACUACCUCAAUGCCUCCAACAAAUGAUCCUGUAUCCACACCAACUGUUCCAACAUCUGAUAAACAACAACAUGAUCAGGAAAGCCAUGUUCCUACUGAUCAUACCAAAGUUUUAGAUGAUGUAAGUUUUCUCAUACAAACUAUAUAUAAUAUGCAUAUAUUCUAUUAUGCAUACAAGUUACCGUUUAUUCAAAUCUCAGUUGUUUCCAUUAUAGAUUGUCCGUGGGAACGUCUGCAAAAAAGCUACAACUAUGGAUGAUCCUAUUUUUGACAAGACUCCAAAAUCUAAUGUUUGACUUCCUUAUAUCAUUAUUAUCAUUCUUUCAGUUACAAUAUAUGCAAGUAACAGUAAUAUAUAUGCAUGCUUUAUUUUUUUUAACUUCCCAGGCUCCCACAACAGACAAGCCUGCUGAUCCUAAGUUAACACCAAAAAUAAAUAGUGUAAGUAUUUACACCUUCAUCAUAUUAUGCUAAUAUAAUAAUAAUUUUUCCCUAUGUUUCAUUACGUUUUUAUUAAUAAAUUUAUUGGUUACAGGAAGGACAAAAAUCUGUUACACAUGAUACUCCUGUAUCUGGUGCACCUCUGUUUGAUAAAACCCCAUUGACAGAUGUAAGACAUGUUGUAAUUUUCAUCUUUUUCAUAUUUAUACAAUAUGACAUACAUAUUUAUGCAACUGUUUACUAACAUUUAUUCAUAUAUUAGGCAACUACUGACCUGGUUGCAAAGGAUAGUUCCUGUAAAGACGCACUCGCUGAACAUCCCCACGUGUCACGUGAAGACUGUGCUCGCAACCUGCUUAAGUUCAUUUUGUCAGGACAACUAGAUCCGAGCAUGUAUGUAUUCGUUAUUCAAAUUCCAAUUAAGUACAAUUAGAAGGAUUUUAAUCAAAGUUUUUUCCCCAGGUCUAUCAUUAAUUUUGGAGGAUUUGGAGGGUCUGUACUUGAUGUUGUCGAGUCGUUUGGUCCCAACAAAUGUCUUGAGAAUACUUUCAUGCAGGGAUUUAUCGACUGUAUUCGUCAGGAUGAUGUAUUAUACAAUCCAGAUUCUGUAAUCAACACUCUUAUACUGAACGUCAACGUUGGGGUAAUUGUUUCUCCACAACUUUGUAUCUUAUUGCAACUCUUACUUUAUAAAUAUAUAAUACCAAUCAAGUUAUUUUAUUUUUCUAGACCGUUUUGAAUAUUGAGGAGUUUGAACAACACAGUUCAAAUCCACAGCCCUUCACAACAACACUUCUUAAAGAACAUCUUGAACCGACCCUACCUUCAGAUGAUGUUCUAAACCAGAUUAAAUUGGUGAGUUCUAAUCAGUUUCAUUUGUACAAAUGUUAUAGUGUACUUUUGGUUACUAGUUUUUUGUUGUAUUAGUUUUAAUGUUUCAUAUGCAUAGUAUAAUUCAUUCAUAAUUUUAACAUAUAUAUUUAACAGAUCCUGGUUCCUAUGCUACGACGAGGCCACUGGACCCUUUAUGCAAUCAAUUUUGAACGUCGUCGCAUAGACAUCUUAGAUUCAAACCCUUAUGGUACAUUGCUUGGAGGCACUACAUGGAAACAAAUUCAUAAUGAUCAAAUGAUGAUAAAUGGAACGAAGAUACCUUGGUCCAGACUCAUAAUGAGAAGACUUAGCAUAGCCUUACAUGAAGCUCGACCUGAGUCAACUGUACCAAAGUUUGGCAACUACAAGAUUGGGCUUCUUCCCAACUGUCCAACCAUGACACCAGGGUCAAAUGAUUGUGGUUUUUUUGUUGCAAACUUCCUCCGAUACUACGAUUUUGAUGAUGGUGACUUAUCAGAAUUUUAUACUCCGGUAUGUCACUAAAUUAGUUUUCUAUUCUUGCAUAUAUUACUCCUUCAUAUUUUAUUCUACCAUAUAAUUGAUAUUAUGGCUAUUUCAGGAUGAACCAUUGGACCAACGUGCCUUUGUUCUGCAUUACCUUACGUUUCAUCGCAACAACAUGGUUGCCUCCCUUCCUGCAGAACUGCUGCCUUUCAAGUAUUCUCCAAGGAGGCGCCGCUGUUUGAAAGCCAAGACUUAGAUAGAAUACCUGAUCAUGAUUCCCUGUGGGAUGAACAAAACUGUUUAUGUUACUUGUUAAGUCACUUAUGUCAGGCCUCUCAUAAUGUGUUUUGAUACUCUGUGUGCCACUUAUGUUCAAUGUGGCUAAUGUCUAUGCUACUUCGCAACAGCUUUUAUCUUAAGUGUGUCAAACAUAAUUGUUACCAGCAUGACUAUUUAUGUUAUCUGUUAACAAAUUCUAUGUUAGUUCAUCUCCAGUUGUGAGUUGCUUAAUCUUUUUGCUUCCAAGGUUUGGCUAUUUUGUAUUAUCAUAUUGUUUCAAUAUUCAAGUUUUAUGCAUAAUAUAUACUUCAUUAUUUUAUAUACACUCGGUUCAUCUUUUUUACAUUUUUUACGCAAAUUAUGCUAAUCUCCACAAGUGUUUAUGCUAUAUCAUGUUUGAUGUAUUUGAAGUGUGAAACCGACGUAUGCAUUCCAUUCGAUUAUUAUUGUUAAGUGUAUACAGUUUUAUAUAACAUUAAUGUACAGACCUUCUGAUUGCUAAACGUUGCCAAUUUGUUGUGCAUAUUCAGUUACAUAAAUUGUGUGCUUGACUAUAUUUACGCAGCAUUUAAUAGUCUCAUAUCUACGCAUUAUAUAACCCUUUAAAGGUAACUACUGAAUUUCGAACAAAAUAAAGCAUAAGUCAUUGUGAUAUUACAAGUUUCUUCUAAAUCGACCACUCGUUAGUCACACUUCAAAUUAUUCGCCCAAAUCCAUAUGCUCAUCGGCUUCUUCAUUUUCCACUUCUUCAUCAACACGAUGUUUUUUUGCAGUCGAUGUUUCAUUCCACUGUGGAGCAGUUGUUUUAUUGUUUAGUCUUGAUCCAGCUGGCCGUCCUCUCUUUCGAUUAGACAGUUUUGCUAGCCUUGCCCUGUUCUCUUCCACAGACAGACAUGUUCUACUGUUAUGCCCAUCUGCUAUUCCACACAAAUGGCAUCUCCUAUUCUUCUUUUUCUCUCCUUUCGCACCUAGUCUCAUAAUCCUUUCUUCUGAAUUUUUUAUUGUCCGUCCCUUUGGUCUUGCGCGAUCCGGCAUACUCAGAUUUAUAACAUCCACAUUAAAAUUCAACCUCUGCACAAUAAUAGACGUUACUAUUUAGUAUAUGCAUACUUACAUAUAUUUAUACCAAUCAUUAAAAUCAUUUAGCAAUGCUCACCUUUUUAGCUUCUGACGAUGCAGCAAUAUUUUCCAAUUGUUCAUGUGCUACGUGAUACGGAGAACUUGUAUCACCAACCUCAUGUGGAAAUCUUAUGUUGUCCUCCUUUAAAGCCCAACCCACAUACAUCAACAUUUACAUGCAGCAUAAAAUUAUAUUUUCAAUUUAGACAAAUAAACAAUAUUAUUUUAAUAUGUACCUGGUUACCAGUAGUUAUUAUUGUUAAUGCAUGUUCACAUCCAGUCCUGGUGUUAUGCGAAUCCUACAAAAUAUUAUUUGCUUAUUACAUUCAUAUUAUAUAUUCAUUAUAUAUACUACUUCAUGCAAGCUUAUAUAUAUAUAUCUUUUACAUACCUUAUCAUGACAUGUAACUGUAUUGUCAUAUUCCAUCCCAUCGCUAGCAUUACUUUUAUUCAACUCUUCUCCCUGGUACAAAAUAACACGUUACUUAUGCAUAAUUUAUAUUACAAAUAGUAUAACAAUAAAACAUCUGCAAUAAUAUUACCUUGUCUUCCUCAUUAUCACUAACAUCUGUUGACUCAUUACAUCCAAUAUCUGGCUCCAAACGGCUUAGAACGACAUCGAGCUCAUCCAACACAUCCAUCGCCUUAUUGUACCCUGCUUUUGACAUACACGCCUGACGAACUACUUUCAUAGUUUUCGUUAACAACAUUUUCUGUCUGUAUGAUUUAGUAACUCCAUCCUUCCCCCUGAAGCUCUUAUCAAUUCUUUCAAACGGAACAUCUUUUCUUGAUGAGACAGUGUACCUUUGCAAUAUAUACUUUGAAGGUAUCUUUUCAACUUGAAGAUGCAUGAAGGCUCUUAAAAGAUGAACACACAAUAGACCUGAAAACAUGAUAACGACCCAUUAUUUCAAAAAUAUACAUUAAUUGUGCUUCAAUCAUCAAAUUAUAUAGUAAGCAUAUUUAUUAUGCUAACCAACAUAAUACGUACAAACCUGUAUGUUCCCACUGUUUGCACUCGCAUGUAUACUCCCCAGCUUCUACGUCUGCUGAUAUUUUGAAUUGAUGUUGUCCCCACACAAUUUUAUUAGACCGUUUUGUAUGCUGUACGAUCCAUUCAUUAUCACAUCCGUCUGGGUCCUUUAAUAUUUUGUAUGCAGUGGCGUAUUUCAUUGAUUCCUCGAAUCUAUUCAUAACAGCUCUGGUGUAUGCUCUAGAGACUCUCACUUCGAACCUAUAUAAUGUAUCUGUUGUCCUUGGUCCCUAUAACACAUUAUUAUCAUAAUUAAACAACUUAAUUACAUAAUUAUAUACAAACCAUUAAUGCUAACAAGCACGACAUACCUUGCUCACCAAUGCCUCCUUUGAUUCUUUCAUUUUCCUGCUGUGCAACAUUUUCAUCAUUUGUUUAGCGAACUCAUGCAGUGGGGUGUUCGCAUCUACAUGUGAUUGCUUCACUAAUCUGUUCAUGCUCUCACUUCGUUGUGUAGAUACCAUUACCCCACAGAAGUCAUUUUUAAAAAAUGCAGGUAUCCAUUCUUUUCUUAUUUCAUAUAAUUUGCGUAGAGUUAUAUCUUCAUGAAGAUUGAACUCCUCUAGCAUCAUUUCCCAGGCACAUUCAAACUCAUGAGGAGUUAAUGGAUGAUGUAUAAUAGACUGGAAUGUUGUUUUAAAAUCCUUAACAUCAAACCUGGCAUAUAUCUCAUUCAGGAAUGGCAUAAAUCUGUUCUGUACAUGCCAUAAGCACAGUCUGUGAACUGUUUCUGGAAAAACAGAUCUCAGAGCAAUUGGCAUUGCAGGAUCUUGAUCUGUAAUUGUUCACAAAUUAUUCAGUUAUUUUCACCAUAAAUUAAUUCAUUGUUUUACAUAACAAAUUUAUAUAUCACAUACCUGUAAGCAUAACUCUUGGACCCUCGCCUCCCAUACAUGUUUUGAAUGAAUUGAAAGCCCAUUCAAAAGUCUGUACUGUUUCAUCUCCCAACAAAACAAAUCCAAACACUGUACACUGCAGGUGGCUGUUAGCUCCAACAAACAUGCCCAGUGGUUUAUCAUAUAUAUUUGUCUUGUGUGUUGUAUCAAAUGUCACAGCAUCACCAUAAUCUGCGUAUUCCCCCUGCAUGCUUGCGUGUGACCAAAAAAUACUAACUAUUUUCCCAUCAUCGUCUAGCUGGAAAUCACAAAAAAAUUGUGCAUUCUGUUUUUUGCAUUCUCUAAAGAAAGCCAAAAGUUUGGCUACAUCAUUUGAGCAAUUUUCUCUUCUCCUGGCUGCCCUCCUACAUUUGUUUGAACAACAAAUUGUUACACAUACAUUUACUAUAGUAAAAUUUCUGUCUAUUGAUAUAUACACAUGUAACAAAAAAGUAUUGCUUACAUAUUUUUCAGAUCUUGAGCAGUUACCGGUACGUUCUCCGGCCCAUCAUGCAUUUCUGAUAUGAAAUCAACUAUGCAAUGCUGCGGCACUCGGCUAUCAUGCAUUGCACCCACAAAAUUUAUGUACUCAGCAUCCCUAAUUUUGUUGCAACGUAAAUGUUGUUUUUCUGCUUCGUCAGUUAUGAACUCAUGGUUAUGCUCCAAGUUUACCAGUUCAAUUUUUGUAGCUACAACCAUUUUUUGUUCAUCAUCAUAUAUUUUUUUUAAUUUUAUUCCAGCUUUGCAUUGUGUACGCCCCGAAGAUCUAUUCCUCAUCCUAGGUGUAUCAUUUGAUUUUGCUGCACUUUUACCUUCACGUGAACAAUUUAUCCACUUACUGAAUGUCUUCUCUCUGUAUUUCUUCAGUGGAAAUCCAACUUCAUAUGCAUACCUUUUAUAGAAUUUAUAUGCAUCAUCUACAUCCUUGAAAGUCAUCCCUACCGUAGGCACUAUAGUUGGAUCAAUGUUUUUUUCCUGCUAUUUCAGUGUCAUUGUUGUUUGUACCAUUGAAUAUGUUCACAACAAUAUAAUCAAUCGAUAAUCAAAUACAGCGACUGGACUUACAUGCGAACGCAGUAUCUGUGGCGUAUCCAUCUCCCUGGAGCUAAUAUUGGACAUAGGAGGUCGAACCCUUUGUUCUCCUUCUUCCCCUAUGCUCAUCUCGGCGACAUCAGGACCCAUUAGAGCAGGCGGUGGUGUCACCAAUGAGUUACCCCGAACGCCAUCUCCUUCCAUCGCCGGCGACCCUCCAGAGCCGGCCAUCUCCAACUCUGAUAUGUUAUGCAGGCUUAGUGGUCAUUGUUCUGAAUGAAAGUAAAUCUCGUAUACUACUAAAGUAACCGCAUCCACGUUUACAGGGUCUCCCCACUAUUUCCGAAAACCGCCCCGAUAUUAUGGCGACGUCUUUGUCAAACUAAAUUUCAUAAUAUAAAAUUUACGCACAACGAACCAAUGUUUUACGCCGUUCGGUAUAUAAUGUUUAUGCAUCUAUUAUGCCGAUUCGGUUUUACAACCUUCUGCACAUUACUUACCAUGCAAGAUCCAUAAUUUACUCGCCCACGUAUCCACAUAAUCACGUUUGCAUGUGGCAUAUAUUCCCUUUAAUUCCGCGCAAUUCCAUUACCAUGCAAACAACCGCGUCACGGCGCCGUCUAACCUGCAUGCCGCCUCUCAGCCCCACGUUAAAACACAGGCGCGCCUGUAGCAUCCGCCAGACCGAGAACCGACCUGGGCUUCCUUUAAUAUCCGAAGCCCUAGGCUCCCGUUAUACCUGCCCUAUAUAUAUAUAUAUAUAAGCUUUGGGCUUACAAUAGCUAGAGGAAGCCUAGACCAAACGUGCCAUCCGAUUGAGCCGGAUCAGGUCUGGGCUGAAAGCUCUCUUGUGGUUUUUGGUGUUUGGAUGACAACUCAAUUAAAGGACUAACAAGUGUGCUAAGUGUUGAACAGGUGCUUAAUGCAAAGCUAACAGGGUUCAACACAAGUGAACAAGUGUGAUGGUCCAAAGACUGGAUUAUCUAUAGAUAAUGGACAUCACAUGUAAGAUGGACAUUGCUUAAGUGAGACUCGGUGUGCGUAACCCAUAGACAACCGAUCAAGCCAAGGAUAGAGGCAAGAAGAGCUUCGAGUUACCGAGUGCACGGGAGAAGGUCAAGGAGACUAGGAACCCAAAGCCAGGGGUGAAGAAGAAGACUUGCAAAGUCAAGGUUGCUCGAGUUAAGAAGAGUUAUGGUGCAUCAAGGAUCACUACAUAAGGACAUGACUUACAACCAAUGAGGUACACUCCACCAAGUUAUUUUUACUACAUAGUUAAUGUAAAUUAUACACCUAUAGCUGUUAAUAAUAAUAAAUUUUAGACCACUGAUUUAGCGUACACUACAAUUUAGUAUAGUCUAUUCCAAUUAUUUUACCUGUUUCAUACAUGCCCAUAUUUUCAACCUAACUACUAAUACUGUCAACUAUACAUUCAUAUUCUGACAUACACACAAAUCUACUACUACUACUAUAAUGUUGUAACUAUAUGAAAUUUAUCUUCACCACUUUUCCUUGUCUGUCUCGCAUUCACUUCAAUAUAAAUGCCAAUCAUUAUGCUGAUAAAGAUUAUGCGGCCGCAGACAUGUUCAACUAAUAUCUAUUUUCAUAUAUUUGCCAAUGAUAAUAUUUGUUGUUUUGAAAAUUUGUUUACCAUGGAGAUUACUAAUUAUAGACUGUUAGAAUUUAAGUUCGUUUAUAUCCUUUCUCCAUGUAAACUAUCCUAGAAUAAAAAUUUAUAUCACGCGUAUGAAGUGCUGUUUGUUUUUUUCUUUUUUGAAAAUUGGUGUCGUGCUUUUUUUAAUGAAGCAAUUUUACUGCAGGUUGUCGAUUUGGAGCCUUUUUAGUGUCAGAUGGUCUGUCUCUAUAUCUCUAUUCAUUUCACUGCAGCGCUGUCUGAGGUGCGUGGUCAAGUCGAGGCGAAGAUGAGCAAGGAGGACGUGCUCAAGGUGCAGGUGAGUUCGCUCCACUCUUCUUCUUCUUCUUGCCGAUCGACCCAACCACCGCACUCCACCUACACACAAGCACAUGUUCAUUGUUUUUGCUGAUUUCAACAUAGUACUGCUCAGUGGUGGAUCCAGGAUGAGAUGCAAGGAGGGGCUACUAGUGUCACACCCGGUUUUAGAAGGUAAACCGAAUGCGAACCAUGUACGUGCCAGGAUCAGUUAUUCACGUACACAGCAGUUACAUAACAUGGACAUCAUCACACAGUGCUCAAAAUAGUAUUAAAAGGGAAAUAAUAGUCGAUUACAUCAUGCGUCUGAGACGUCCAUAUAGUCCUUACAAUAAAUCAAAGUGCGAAAACGAAACGUAGAUAACCGCGGCCUUCACAGGCAGCCGACUGGGGGUUGCCGCUAACCCACACCUAGAACUCGUCGUAGUCCUGGAACUCCUGGAAGUCUCCUUCCACAGCUUCAUCUUCUCCUGAGCAGUGGUUGCAAUGCUGACAACCUGGGGGGGGGGGGUUGGUGUGUAGAGCAAGGGUGAGUACACAUCAACAUACUCAGCAAGUAUCCUGUUUGGCUGUAGUAGACUAGCUUUAUGUGGGGAUAAGUCAAGCAGUUGCUUUUAGUUGGUCAGAUUAUUAUUUACUAAUAGAAAGCCAGGUUUUAGCAUUAACCCAAGUUAUUAGCCCGAUGUACCCUUUCCAAACGGAAAGAAUACCGCUUACCAGCACCAUAGUCAUCACCAAAACCAUCAGUCUCAUUGUCACCUGUAAACCAAAAUGUCUCUGAUCAAGUACCACUAAUCAUUGGAGCUCCCUUGGCCGCUCAUAACCGCGAGCACGGCUGAUAUAUCAGUUUUCAAACACUCUGCAGAGGUUGUGCACUUUACCCACAAGCCGUGAUUCCCUCUCUGCCCGGAGAGAGCUACUCCCCAUUGACCACUACCUAGGUGGUCCAGCAGGGCAUCACUACGUAGCCUUUACAAAGAUUCCCCGGGGCUGUAGCCGCCCGUUAGGUUUCCUAAAUGUACCGCACUCCUCCCCAAGGGACAAAUCAACCUUGGCAGAGCGAGCCGCAUACACCGAGCCCCAUUGACGGCACAACGGCUAAGCGAACUACACCCCGGUUCCUCUAAUUACUCAGCUAAGGGCGUCCCACUCCACCCUCAUGGUUGCACUGUUUUCCCGGGCAGUCAUCCAUAGAACAGGUCCUUAUAGAGAGGCACUCGAGAAACCGCUCGAGCCCCCUUGAAGGUCACAAGUAUAACAUCUUAAUAAAAGAGGGGAAAACAGUGUAUCAUAAAUAAUUCUCAUCAUGUUCAUUGAUUAGAGUGGAGCAAUAGCAUAAAGCUAACCAAUAAUAAUCCGACCCAAGUAGGUAAACAAGGACAUGGAUAACAAAAGCUAGUCAAUCCUUAGGUAUAAAUGUGUAAUGCGGGAGGUGAAUUAAAGAAUGAUUAGGACAGAGAUAGGUCAAAGGACACUUGCCUCCACCAACCGACUGCUGCUCAGGGGCUUCUCCUGUGAGUUCUUCGGGCUCUCCAACCGGAUCGUUCUCUAUGCGAUUGCAAGCAUACAUACAUCCAUCCAUUCAAAUUAGGAAACAAACAGUACACCAUACAAGAGAACAAAAUAAAGUAAAUAUGCAUAGAAUAUCACAUACGAUGAUGAAUUUACCAUGGUUAGAAAGAAAUGAGAAAAGGUCUCGCGAGAGUUAAAGCUUAUGCCCGAGACACACUACGGGUUGGUGAAUAUCUAGACGUCACGUGUUCUAGUUCCAAUUGGUUCUAACAAAAGAAUUAGCUACAUGCACUAAUGUAAACGUGACCACUUUUAGUAGAUUAACAUUGAAUAAGAUAGACGAUUAGCUAUACAAAUUAACUAACGUAACCAAUUUCCAAAUUUGGACUCCUAUCUUAUUAAUAUAAACAACGUGAUUAGCGCAUAUAGGAUACGGGGGGUAGACGGGGCUAGGGGGUAGACGAUCGUGUCGCGAGCACGACGAGCUACGCCAGAACGCUGUGCGAACACGCGCGCGCGCAAAGUCACACUUAACGUGCUGCGAACGAGUCGCGCACGUGUCGGGGCCGUGCGCUGGCCGAGCUCGAGGCCGCGCGCCGAAGGCACGCUUGGCCGAGCUCGAGGCCACGCCGAGGGCCGACGCGACGCGAGCAAGGCACGGCGGGGCGAGGACACGGUCGGGCGAGGGCACGGCCGAGGCCGAGAGCGGGGGCGAUCGGGCCGGGGUCGGGGCGGUUGAACCGGGGGGGCGAGCAGGGGGCGGGGGCCGCACCGGGGCCGAGCCGCCGGGGCCGCGCCGGGGGCCGGGGGCCGCGCGCCGGCGAGCAGGGGCGGGCGGGAUCGCCGCCGCGGGCCGGGGAGGGGCGGGGGAGCGCCGCCGCGGGGCCGGGGAGGGGCGGGGUCGCGCCACCGACGGGGGCGGGGGCGGGGUCGCCGCCGCAGCAGGGGACGGGCGGGGCCGGCCGCGCCGCCGGCGAGCGGGGAAGGGCAGGGGCGCGCGCGAGCAGGAAAAAAAGAGGGGCACGCGCGGGGGAGGAAGAAGAGGAGAGAGAGAGAGAAGAGAAGGGGAGGGGAGGUCACCUCGGGGUCCAAAAUCCGGUGAUCGCCGUCUCCAAUUCCUAGGGCACCACGGGGAGAGAGAGGUGGAAGAGGGAGAGGGGAGGUUGCUGCGCGGGAGAUCCAAAUGAGAGGGAGAGAGAGAGGAGGGGGCGCAUGGGGGGGGUGUGGGCGCCAGGGGCGCGCAGGGCCGGGCAGGGGCGGGCUGGGUUGGGCCGGGCCACUUCGCGGAUCGAAAACCCACGACGUGCACGACCACUAAACGGAAUUAAAUCGCGAAUCGAAAUCCGGAACGGAACGAGCCGAACACUCAACAUCAGACAAAGAAAUGUGCUUCGGCAUGAUGCAACACCCAUGAUACUUAGGUUUUGGUUUAUACAUGACACAGACACCUGUCGCUAUACUGGUUUGAAAUUGGGUAGAAGGAGCAAAACGGGGAAAGAGAAAAGUGAGUAACGCCCGAAUUUGGUGAGAGAAAAGAAGAAAAAAUUCUACCCCCAAAUUCAGGGCGUUACAAACCUAUCCCCCUUAAAAGAAGCUCGCCCUCGAGAUUCAGGGUUGGCUAGCAAAGAGCUCAGGGUAUUUAGCCAUCAGAUCAUCUUCACGCUCCCAGGUUGCUUCUUCCUCUGAAUGGUGAUUCCACCUGACUUUGCACAUUCUGAUGGUCUUCCUUCGGGUGACUCUGUCUGCAACCUCAAGGAUCUGCGCUGGCUUCUCAACGUAGGUCAAGUCCUCCUGGACUUCAAGACUUUCCACUGGUAGCUGCUCUUCUGGCACACGCAAGCACUUCCUCAACUGAGACACAUGAAAGACAUCAUGCACAGCAGACAAAUUUUCUGGCAGAUUGAUCUGAUAGGCCACUUCUCCACGCUUUGCAAGAAUUUGGUACGGACCAAUAUAGCGGGGUGCUAGCUUGCCUUUGACUCCGAAUCUUCUGACUCCUCUGAUCGGUGACACUUUCAGAUAGACGAAGUCUCCGACUUCGAAACUCAGCUCUCUUCUUCUUGUGUCUGCAUAGCUUCGCUGCCUUGAUUGCGCUAUCUUCAGAUUCUCUCGGACCAUCUUGAUGUUCUCUUCGGCUUCAAGCAAAAUGUCUGGCCCGAACACUUGCUUUUCCCCAGGCUGAUCCCAUUGCAACGGAGUUCUACAACUCCUCCCAUAGAGCGCUUGAAAUGGUGACAUCUUCAAACUGGCCUGGUAACUGUUGUUAUAGGAGAAUUCUGCAUAAGGCAAUCGCUUAUCCCAUCCGGACUGAUCUUGCAGCGCACAGGCUCUCAACAUAUCUUCGAGAAUUUGAUUGGUCCUUUUGGUCUGGCCAUCUGUCUGCGGAUGAUAAGCUGAACUGAAAUUCAGAUGUGUGCCCAAGGCUUCAUGCAACUGCUGCCAGAAAUGAGAGGUGAACUGCGUUCCUCUGUCUGACACUAUCUUCUUUGGCACACCAUUAAGACAAACGAUCCGAGAUAUAUACAACUCUGCCAGUACUGCGCUGCUAUAGUUGGUCUUGACAGGUAUGAAGUGGGCUGACUUGGUCAAACGGUCCACUACUACCCAAAUAGAAUCGUAGCCGGCUCGAGUGCGAGGCAAUCCGACUAUGAAAUCCAUACCGAUUUCAUCCCAUUUCCACUGAGGAAUCUGCAACGGUUGCAACAAUCCAGCUGGUCUCUGGUGCUCUGCCUUAAUUCUUCGACAACUAUCGCACAUAGCCACAUGCUCUGCGAUUUCCCUCUUCAUUCCGUACCACCAGAAUUUCUUCUUCAGAUCCUGAUACAUCUUCUCACUACCAGGGUGAAUCGAAUAAGCAGUCUCAUGAGCUUCCUUGAGAAUCAACUCCCGAAUGGAUUGGACAUUAGGAACGCACAAUCGGUCUUUGAACCAUAUCACACCUUCUGCAUCUUUACGAAAAUCUUUGCCUCUGCCAUCUAGAAUCAGUCACCGAAUCUCACUGAUCUUUUCAUCAUUCUUCUGCGCUUCUUUGAUUUCUCGCUCCAAGGUAGGUUCCAACUCAACUGUGACUCCUCGCGAAUUAUUCAGAAACCCGAGACUCAACCUGUCAAACUCCUUGGCCAACUCAUAAGGCAUCGGACGAGCGACCAUCAGAUUGACUUGACUCUUCCUGCUCAAAGCAUCUGCCACUACGUUCGCUUUGCUCGGAUGGUAAUGAAUCUCCAACUCAUAGUCUUUGAUCAGCUCUAACCAUCUUCGCUGCCUCAUAUUCAAUUCUGACUGAGUGAAUAUGUACUUCAGACUCUUGUGGUCUGUGUAAAUAUCGCAUUUCUGUCCAUACAGAUAGUGCCUCCAUGUCUUCAGUGCGUGAACCACUGCUGCCAACUCUAGGUCAUGGAUUGGGUAGUUCUUCUCAUGAACCUUCAGCUGUCGGGACGAGUAAGCCACAACUCUUCCCUCUUGCAUCAAUACGCAUCCCAAACCUGUGUAACAAGCAUCACAGUACACAGAGAAGGGCUUGUGCACAUCAGGCAAGACUAGGACAGGCGCUGUUGUCAACUUCUCUUUCAGCGCUUCGAAGGCCUCUUGACAUUUCUGGGUCCACUUGAACUCAAACUUGUUGCCUAGCAACGCUGUCAUUGGUUUCGCAAUCUUCGAAAACCCUUCAAUGAAUCGCCGAUAAUAUCCGGCCAUUCCAAUGAAGCUCUUGAUUCCUCGAGCAUCCGUUGGCGCUUUCCAGUUCAGAAUGUCUGCCACUUUCUUCGGAUCCACAGCCAAUCCUUCUUUGUUGAUUAUGUGACCCAAGAACAGGACUUCAUUGAUCCAGAAUUCACAUUUGCUCAACUUUGCAUACAACUGGUGCUCUCGCAAUCUCUGCAAUACCAUCCUCAAAUGAUCUGCAUGUUUUUCUUCGCUUUGAGAAUAAACCAGAAUGUCAUCAAUGAAUACCACCACAAACUUAUCAAGGUAAUCCAUGAAUACACUGUUCAUCAAGUUCAUGAAAAACACUGGUGCAUUGGUCAAACCAAAAGACAUCACUGUGAACUCAUAUAACCCACACUUGGUAGUGAAUGCCGUCUUCGGAAUGUCCGAAGGUUGGAUCCUGAGCUGAUGAUAACCUGACCUCAGAUCGAUCUUGGAGAACACACUGGCUCCUCUCAACUGGUCGAACAGAUCUUCUAUUCUGGGCAAAGGGUACUUAUUCUUGAUCGUGACUUCAUUCAAAGCUCGAUAAUCGAUACACAUCCUUUUGGUGCCAUCUUUCUUUUCCAUGAACAAGACGGGGGCGGCCCAAGGCGAGGUGCUUGGCCGGAUGUAACCUUUCUCUGAUAGCUCAUCAAUCUGCUUCUUAAGCUCAACCAACUCUGGUCUGGAUAUUCUGUAAGCUCUCUUAAAGAUAGGGGCGGUUCCAGGAAGAAGCUCUAUGGCAAACUCAACUUUCCGCUCUAGUGGCAUACCCGGUAAGUCCUUUGGAAACACGUCUGGAAAUUCAGACACAACCUUGAUACUCUCAAUUGGGUCUACUUCACUGCUAUCGACAGCCAUCUAAUAACAACUUCCUCUCUUCGGCUCAGGCGGGACUAACUCGGUCACCACUUCCUCUCCUAGUGGGGACACUAACUUGAUUGUCCUUUUAUCACAACUGAUAACUGCAUGAUACUUAUCUAGCCAAUUCAUCCCUAGGAUGACAUCUAUUCCCUGAGUACCCAUUACUAUAAGGUUAGCGGGAAACGCUAUCCCCCUUAUUUCCACACUUACAUUCAAACAUAUGCUAUCAGCUCGAAUUCUACCACCGGCUGAGUCAAUUUGAAUGGGGGUUGACAUGGUAGUAAUUGGAAGAUUAUGUGCUUCUACCCAUGAUGCAGUAAUGAAAGAAUGUGUUGCUCCAGUAUCAAAUAACACUUCUGCAAUAUGGGAGUCGACUGGGAACAUACCUACUAUCAUGCCGGGGGUCUCCUGAACUGCUUCAGCCUCCAAGUGGUUCAGUCUUCCAUGAUUGUAACGUGGCUGAGAGCGGUAGCCUGCUCCAGGCUGAGACACAUUCUGCUUUGCUGGGGCAUUGGGGCCUGACUGCUGCUGGGCUGCCUUCUUCGGGCAUUGCAUCACCCAGUGGCCAUGCUCCCCACAGUGGAAACAUGCCCUGUUUCCAACCUGAGCUGGUGCUGCCUGACUGUUCUGCUGGUUUGCUGGGGCAGGAAGACGAGGUGUCUGCUGAUUCUGCCUCUGAAACUGACCUCCUGACUGAUUGCUCUGACGGUUCUGGUACUGAUGCUGAGGAUACUGCCUUUGGAACUGCUGAGGUUGAUUGCCUGAGAAACGAGGACGGUUGCUGCUUCCAGGCUGGGGUCCACUGAUCUUGCGCUUACGAUCCUCCAUCUCCUUACGCUUCCUUUCUAUCAUGAUUGCUCUGUCAAUCAGGUGCUGGAAUGUCGGGAAGGUAUGAUUCAUCAGUUGGUACUGAAGAGGGUCAACCAAGCCUCUCAAGAAACGGUACUGUCGCUUGGCGUCGGUGUUGACAUCUUCAGGAGCAUAGCGAGACAAUUGCAGAAACCUGUCCCGGUACUCACUGACAGAUGAUGACCCUUGCUUAUGGGCCAGAAACUCCUCCUUCUUCACUGUCAUCAGACCUGCAGGCACAUGGUACUGACGAAAGCUACCUCUGAACUCUUCCCAAGUGAUGGCAUCGGGGUUGGCAUGGGUGGCGAGAUAAGAUUCCCACCAUGAUUGGGCUGCUCCUCUCAACAGACGGGGACCAUACAGAACUUUCUCUCUGUCAUCGCACUGAGCGGUAUGCAACUCCCGCUCCACAGUGCGUAGCCAAUCUUCAGCAUCCAUGGGGUCAGAAGAGUGAGCAAACGUUGGUGGAUGACCUCUCAUGAAUUCAGCACGCUUGUCUCUGGGCAUCUGAGGCUGAGGUGGAGCCUGUUGUUGCUGCUGCUGCUGCUGCUGAAUGGCGGCCAGAGUCUGACCGAUGGCUUGAACCGCUUGAGUCUGCAUCAGAAACAUCUGCUCGAUCGACAUCGGGGGCGGGGGCGGCAGGUGCUGCUGCUGGGGCACCUCAUCCUGCGGAGCGUCUCGCUCCUGCUGAGCACGCCUUCCUCCUCUGCGCCUGUUCUCUGACAUCUGCAGAAUGCAACCACACAUCAAAACUGAUCUGGCAAAUCUUGCAGCAUAAGAAAAGAGUAUAGAAUUCUUCAACAGCACUGAACAGAUGAGCAUCUUCACUGAUCUCCAACACAGACCACACAGCUUCUCAGAUAAAGAUGAAAGUGGAAUAAAGGUUUCCCAACUACAUAACUAACUCCAUUAACAUAAUAUGUAAACCAAAAUGCAGGGGGUACCCACACUCUGGUGACAGUCAUUACAAAAAUCCAAACCAAACAUAGUUCAUCAUGACAAACAUAGAUGCACAGGAUAUAGCAAACUACCCUGUCUAACUAAGACUAACUAAGACCGAGACUAACGCUAAGACUGUAGCUUCUACGUAUAUAUUUUGUAUUAAUUACAAGAUCCAACUCUAACGAUCUAUGGUUCUAGAUUUAUCUUGGUCUUGCAGUCGGUAUUUCCAUAAGACUGGCGUCCACGCCGAGGUGAGCGGUACGGGUGCUGAGUCCCAACGGGGGCGGGGGAACCAUCAUCCAAGUGACGACGUUCCGCGCGCUCAGCCCGCAGCAGGGCGAUCUCAGCACGAGCCCUACUCAGCUCGUCUAGUGCAUGGUCCAGCUCCGUGUUUAGCACGGCGGCUAGGUUGACUGUGCUGCUCAACCGAGGAUUGUCCUCACCAGCAGGUGAAACAAUCACGCCUCCUGUGCUGCCAGAUGGACGGCGGGGGUAAUACUUCAGGUCGAGACCGUCAGCUACCCCACCGAGAACCGAGCAGUAGUGCGAAAGCGCACGCCGUGCAGCGUCUUGCAUGGCUGCCUCAGCUGAGUCCCGCUCAGAGAUAGAAUAGUGCUCUGAGCAGGCCUCUGCGCCCUGGAGACUGUUCUCCGGACGGCGCACCAAGCAGGUCGCCUCCCAGCGGUCCGGGUAAACCCCGCGACUAUGCUGGUAGACCACACAGCGAUACUUGAUGGACCAAGUACGCCGGUUAAGUGUCUGACGUAGCAGGGUGUCGAGCGCGUCGUGGAAGUGACACCCGCGAGCAGCGUCGCGAGUGAUGGGUCGAGCAACCCAUCCUUCCGGCUCAUGGUCAGCAGGGAAGUCGGUGUCGUGGCUCGGGCUGUCGUCACCACCUCCGUCGUCUGGAUCUCCUCCAGCAGCUACUCCAGAGGCUGGGGCGCCCACUGGUGGUGCAGGGGGCGCCUCCAGGGGAAGCACAGGAGAGAAGCUCCUCACAGACUCUAUCUCCUGCUGGAGCGAGAAGGAAGAGCCCUGCUGCUCCUGUCGUCGACGUUCCUGCUCCUCAUGCAGGCGGUGGUGCAGUCUCUACAAGUGGCUGGACUGUCCGGCCACGGGACGGCGAAGCGGACGCUCAGCAAGGCGGGAGGGUAAGAAGGGGAUGACGGACUUUCGUGCAGUGUGUCUAAGUCGAGCCAUCUACAAAAGACACCGCAAGCAAAAGAGUGAGAACAGAAUUAAUAUUACCAGCAAAUAAUGAAUCAUGAAUAAAUGAAGGAUUAGAAUAAAACACAAUUUUCAGCAAGGUAUAAUAUAUAGUAGAACAUAGGUUUGGUCGGUAUGACCAACUUUUGAAGGGGUACCAAAGUCAAGGCAGGGACAGAGGUCUAUAGUUCUUAGAACGACCAUUCUGCUCUAGGUUAGCGGUCCUACAGUCAGCACGGCUUUGAUACCACUUAUGUCACACCCGGUUUUAGAAGGUAAACCGAAUGCGAACCAUGUACGUGCCAGGAUCAGUUAUUCACGUACACAGCAGUUACAUAACAUGGACAUCAUCACACAGUGCUCAAAAUAGUAUUAAAAGGGAAAUAAUAGUCGAUUACAUCAUGCGUCUGAGACAUCCAUAUAGUCCUUACAAUAAAUCAAAGUGUGAAAACGAAACGUAGAUAACCGCGGCCUUCACAGGCAGCCAACUGGGGGUUGCCGCUAACCCACACCUAGAACUCGUCGUAGUCCUGGAACUCCUGGAAGUCUCCUUCCACAGCUUCAUCUUCUCCCGAGCAGUGGUUGCAAUGCUGACAACCUGGGGGGGGGGGUUGGUGUGUAGAGCAAGGGUGAGUACACAUCAACAUACUCAGCAAGUAUCCUAUUUGGCUGUAGUGGACUAGCUUUAUGUGGGGAUAAGUCAAGCAGUUGCUUUUAGUUGGUCAGAUUAUUAUUUACUAAUAGAAAGCCAGGUUUUAGCAUUAACCCAAGUUAUUAGCCCGAUGUACCCUUUCCAAACGGAAAGAAUACCGCUUACCAGCACCAUAGUCAUCACCAAAACCAUCAGUCUCAUUGUCACCUGUAAACCAAAAUGUCUCUGAUCAAGUACCACUAAUCAUUGGAGCUCCCUUGGCCGCUCAUAACCGCGAGCACGGCUGAUAUAUCAGUUUUCAAACACUCUGCAGAGGUUGUGCACUUUACCCACAAGCCGUGAUUCCCUCUCUGCCCGGAGAGAGCUACUCCCCAUUGACCACUACCUAGGUGGUCCAGCAGGGCAUCACUACGUAGCCUUUACAAAGAUUCCCCGAGGCUGUAGCCGCCCGUUAGGUUUCCUAAAUGUACCGCACUCCUCCCCAAGGGACAAAUCAACCUUGGCAGAGCGAGCCGCAUACACCGAGCCCCAUUGACGGCACAACGGCUAAGCGAACUACACCCCGGUUCCUCUAAUUACUCAGCUAAGGGCGUCCCACUCCACCCUCAUGGUUGCACUGUUUUCCCGGGCGGUCAUCCAUAGAACAGGUCCUUACAGAGAGGCACUCGAGAAACCGCUCGAGCCCCCUUGAAGGUCACAAGUAUAACAUCUUAAUAAAAGAGGGGAAAACAGCGUAUCAUAAAUAAUUCUCAUCAUGUUCAUUGAUUAGAGUGGAGCAAUAGCAUAAAGCUAACCAAUAAUAAUCCGACCCAAGUAGGUAAACAAGGACAUGGAUAACUAAAGCUAGUCAAUCCUUAGGUAUAAAUGUGUAAUGCGGGAGGUGAAUUAAAGAAUGAUUAGGACAGAGAUAGGUCAAAGGACACUUGCCUCCACCAACCGACUGCUGCUCAGGGGCUUCUCCUGCGAGUUCUUCGGGCUCUCCAACCGGAUCGUUCUCUAUGCGAUUGCAAGCAUACAUACAUCCAUCCAUUCAAAUUAGGAAACAAACAGUAUACCAUACAAGAGAACAAAAUAAAGUAAAUAUGCAUAGAAUAUCACAUACGAUGAUGAAUUUACCAUGGUUAGAAAGAAAUGAGAAAAGGUCUCGCGAGAGUUAAAGCUUAUGCCCGAGACACACUACGGGUUGGUGAAUAUCUAGACGUCACGUGUUCUAGUUCCAAUUGGUUCUAACAAAAGAAUUAGCUACAUGCACUAAUGUAAACGUGACCACUUUUAGUAGAUUAACAUUGAAUAAGAUAGACGAUUAGCUAUACAAAUUAACUAACGUAACCAAUUUCCAAAUUUGGACUCCUAUCUUAUUAAUAUAAACAACGUGAUUAGCGCAUAUAGGAUACGGGGGGGUAGACGAGGCUAGGGGGUAGACGAUCGUGUCGCGAGCACGACGAGCUACGCCAGAACGUUGUGCGAACACGCGCGCGCGCAAAGUCACACUUAACGUGCUGCGAACGAGUCGCGCACGUGUCGGGGCCGUGCGCUGGCCAAGCUCGAGGCCGCGCGCCGAAGGCACGCUUGGUCGAGCUCGAGGCCACGCCGAGGGCCGACGCGACGCGAGCAAGGCACAGCGGGGCGAGGACACGGUCGGGCGAGGGCACGGCCGAGGCCGAGAGCGGGGGCGGUCGGGCCGGGGUCGGGGCGGUUGAACCGGGGGGGCGAGCCGGGCGAGCAGGGGGCGGGGGCCGCACCGGGGCCGAGCCGGGGGCCGCGCGCCGGCGAGCAGGGGCGGGCGGGAUCGCCGCCGCGGGCCGGGGAGGGGCGGGGGAGCGCCGCCGCGGGGCCGGGGAGGGGCGGGGUCGCGCCACCGACGGGGCGGGGGCGGGGUCGCCGCCGCGGUAGGGGACGGGCGGGGCCGGCCGCGCCGCCGGCGAGCGGGGAAGGGCAGGGGCGCGCGCGAGCAGGAAAAAAAGAGGGGCGCGCGCGGGGAGGAAGAAGAGGAGAGAGAGAGAAGAGAAGGGGAGGGGAGCUCACCUCGGGGUCCAAAAUCCGGUGAUCGCCGUCUCCAAUUCCUAGGGCACCACGGGGAGAGAGAGGUGGAAGAGGGAGAGGGGAGGUUGCUGCGCGGGAGAUCCAAAUGAGAGGGAGAGAGAGAGGAGGGGGCGCAUGGGGGGGGUGUGGGCGCCAGGGGCGCGCAGGGCCGGGCAGGGGCGGGCUGGGUUGGGCCGGGCCACUUCGCGGAUCGAAAACCCACGACGUGCAUGACCACUAAACGGAAUUAAAUCGCGAAUCGAAAUCCGGAACGGAACGAGCCGAACACUCAACAUCAGACAAAGAAAUGUGCUUCGGCAUGAUGCAACACCCAUGAUACUUAGGUUUUGGUUUAUACAUGACACGGAUACCUGUCGCUAUACUGGUUUGAAAUUGGGUAGAAGGAGCAAAACGGGGAAAGAGAAAAGAGAGUAACGCCCGAAUUUGGUGAGAGAAAAGAAGAAAAAAUUCUACCCCCAAAUUCAGGGCGUUACAACUAGCCUACUAAAAUAAAGCUAAAAAUAUUUAGAUAUAACUAAAUGAUCUAAUUAAUAUAGACCAAAUAAGUAUGAAAAUAACUAAUAAGUUGUGUUAAAAAGUACAAUACUCAAAACAUACCCCUAAUGAGUUGUGUUAAAAGUAUCUUUGUUCUGGUUCUUGAUGAGAAAUUUAUCCAUUCUAUCCCUAUAAACUAAAAAAUAAUUUUAUCAAUUAACCUAGCAAAUAAUUGACCAAUCCAAAAUACCAAAGUAUAAAACUUAAUCUCUUAGUGAAAGGCAAUCUAUGUUUAGCAAGUUAAGAAUUAUAUAAAGUCUAGAUUCUAGAGGGAAGAUAAAUGACGUCGAUUGAAAAGAAAAAGGGCAAGGCACAGUCUUGAAAUGACACUACAGACUACACCGAUCCUCCAGCCCUUGCCACGCUUUUUCUUUUGUAUCUCGUGGGUCAUGGCUUGCAGUGCAGCCUAUAGUGUGCACUGCAGGACAGUGUGUCUAGCGUCUUGACCUGCUUACACCAACAUGUGACUCUCUGUUGGCUGCUGCAUACUCGCCUUGUUGCCGGCACCACGACCGGGGGCUGCAGCCCAAGCAGUCCCAGGUUCAAAUCCGCCCCUGGUACUGCUUGUUUAGUAGUGAAGACAGAGACUGUAGUGAAAACAGACCACCACCUGUAUUCUUUCAGGUGUUAGAAAUGUAAAUUUUUGCUUUCUGGUUAUGUGUGUUCCUCUUGCUGCAUGGUUAUUACCCCACCCCCAUCCAUCUCGCCUGUGCAGAAAUAAUAAACAUCACUAAGGUGCGUUAACUGUUUUCUUGAUACUGUUGUUUCUAUUGUUCUCAAGGUCUUGGAUUCAACAUAGUACUAGCAGUUUGGAAUCACCCGACAGGGAUGCUUUCCAUGUAAUAAAUAUUUUUGGAACGUUUCGGAUUUAACUUAUGUUGUUUCUGUUUCAAUCAACAUGGUGUCACUAUUUGGAUUCACCAGUAAGAAUAUUUGCCAUUUGGGCUUGUUAAUUAGGGUGCAAUUUUAUAUAAAACAUGCCUCGUUCACUUGCUUUCCAGUUCUUGAUUUCAGAUCUCUGAAGCUGAUUAUGUACACGUUUUCUUACCACGACUUUUAUUCUGCUUUCCGGUUCUCAACGUCUUGGACAUUGCCGGUGAGCGCGGUCUCCUCGGCAACUUCUACUGCUAACUCGGGUGCAAGGUAAGGUACACAUAUUUCAUAUAGUUCUCUACACUUUGAGAUUGUUGUAAGGAUAUUUUAAAUGUGGUACUUAUAUUUCAUUCAGUUCUAUACUUUGAUUUUGGUGUAGAGAUUUAGUUAUGUAGAAUUUUGCUUGAAGUUGGUAUGUUUUUACCGAUAGACCAACAUCAAGUUGUGUGAAAUUGUUAGACAGUAAGGUUCAUCCAUGAAUUAGUACACCAUGGAAUGAUCUACAACACUUGUGUCUGAAUACAGCAAAAAUCAUAGAAAUUGUGUCUGAAUAUUCUGUGUUGCUCGUUACAUUGAGUCUGGUAGUCGUUGUUCCACUAUAUGUUCUGGUAGUCGAUGUUCCUAUGUACCCAUCUGGUAAUCGCUUUCAGUCCGUCUAAACACAAGUCUUUUUAAGUCUUGUUCUCUAUAGAUUAUUGUUGAAUACAGUUGAUGCUUGUUUAUCUCAUAUAGUGUUACAUGUGUUGCUAUAUGUGACUACAUGGUUCCUUUUAAUUUGUUCAUUAGUUGCUAUAUGCAGAUGCCCAACAAACUUCCAAUCCAGCUGCCGGCAAGGAGAUGAGGUUCCCGACGGCGACAAUUUUCCACUACACAACCGGAUUCUUCAGCAGCAUAUGAAUCCGUUGAAGCGCCAUGUGACAAUGCCACCAAAGAGCAGCAACAAACAAGCUCAAAGUCUUCGCUAACCACUAAUCUCAUAAAGCUUGAAUUUUCUCAUUGCUAUGUUUCCUUCUCCUAGCAAAGUUAAGAUGUUUACACAUUUCUAGCUUAUUAGGUCCUUGUGUGGAAUGUGUUUGGACAAUGAUCUCAUUUAAACAAUAUCAACAUGUGUGAUAUAUAAAAACCGUAGCAACGCACGGGCACAUACCUAGUGUAAAUGAUUUUAGGUGGAUAUAUUGUACUAUAUAAUCCACCAAUUUAAUUUAUAUCUGUAUGGUUCUAUAGCAUCCAACAGUUUAAACUUUACAAAACUUAACCAACCAAAUCACCCCAACAUUCAUAACCUCCAAUAAAUCCACCAAAUAAAUUGCAUCCGGACUUAACACACUAGUACAGAGAAACUCUAUAGAGGCGGAUGUAAACCUAUUUAGGCCUUGUUUGGUUUGGGGUGACUAAAGUUUAGUCACUUUUAGUCCCUAAAGAAGUAAACAUGGUGACUAAAAUGGAGUGACUAAACUUUAGUUCUUUAGUCACCAAGGGGUGACUAAAAGGGACUAAAGUAGAAUUUUUACCUUAUUUGUCCUCUCCACUUUCUUUUUACAGCAAACAUCCACUAAUUAAUAGGGGCAAUAUAGUCAUUAUUCACAGUAAUUAAUGUUCUUUAGUUCGGUUUAGUCACUGGAACCAAACGGAGUACUUUAGCGACUAAACUUUAGUUAGUCUAGUGACUGAAGGAACCAAACAGGGCCUUAUACUAUCGUUUUUCAGAAAAUUAAGUGUAGGGGACUGAGAACCGCCAUUAAAAAUAUUUGUAUAGACGAGUAACUGAGAACCGCCAUUAAAAAUCGAUUUUCACUAGCAGUCGAGGUAAUAAAACCGGCAGAGAAAUUCUUUUCUAGGAAACAAAAAAUGGGUUUUAAAAUAACAAAAAACUAUUUUAAUUAGGCUCCACCUAUGACUUAUUUCGUGUAUAUAUUGCGGUUUUGCUGCCCACAUAUUAGAACAACCCGAGUAUAAAUUGACUAUUUGAGGUUGUAAAUGAAUUCAAAUUAAAAAGUUAUCAACUACAAAGUUUCAUAACUUUUGAAGUUCUACAACUUUUAUUUUGGUACUUUUUCCAUCAGAGGUCGUUUGCAAAAUUUGCAUUUUAAAUUUGACAAAUUCAUAUGCAAUUUUUGAGAGCCGAAAUGAUUUCAAAUAAGAAAAUAUCAGCUACUGAAUUUCAUAACUUUUGAAGUUCUACAACUUUUAUUUUGGUACUUUUUCCAUUGAGGUCGUUUGCAAAAUUUGCAUUUUAAAUUUGACAAAUUUAGAUGCAAAUUUUUAUAGCCAAAAUGAUUUCAAAUUAAAAAAAUAUUAACUACAAAGUUUCAUAAUUUUAGAGAUCUACAACUUUUAUGUUGGUGGUUUUUUCAUACGAGAUCAUUUGAAAAACUCAAAAAAAAUCUAGACAAGAUUUUUAGUGGCGAUUUCUUAAGAAAACCGCAUGUAGAAAUCGAUCUGUACAGAUGGUUCCUUAUGAAAACCGCAUGUAGAAAUCAUAUUUCUAUAGACGGUUUUUUAAGAAACCACCACUAGGAAUAUCACUGGUGCCUGAUAAACGAAACCACAUGUAAAAAUUAAACCCCACCGUGGGCUUAGAGCUCUUUUAUACUAGUGACACCAUCAAAAUCAACGGUUCAGAUCACUGGAUAACUAACUCUCACUUACUCAAAUCCAAUGGAUAAUAUUAUUUGGAUCAUCCCUCCCUCUCCCCUAUGACCCCGCCGCCCCAGAUUCCCCCACAUUGCCGUCAACCCCGCCUCUCACACCAUCGUCGUCAUCGAUCCCUCCCCUUCCCUAUCUUGGAUCGGAGUGUUAGCACGAGGUUUAUGCUAGUAUAGGCUAAAUAGGCAAACCAUCAUCCAUAUAUUAACUUUCAUUUAAAAGACAAUCUUCAUAAAAGAUGCAUCUUCGAUAAAAAUAUUCAAACCAAUAAGAGGUGAAAUAAAUUCUGCCAGUCAUUCUACUCCAAAACUCUCUCUCUCUCUCUCCGUCUCUGUCUCUCUAUAGCAUCAAUGCAUGGCCCCAUCGCAUAAUAAUAGAUGUGCAAAACCUCAACACCCUAGGUGGUGGCGCACGGACACGAACCUUUCACACCCUCCUAUUACUACAGGGUGGAGAGAUCCAACACUAUUACAGACCGAGCCACCACUGCUCCUAUUAUCAUCACCAGUUACUAUAUUACUGUUGGUGGAAUUCUUUCACCAACAAUUAUGGAAAUGACACAGGGAGAAAAGUUCAACGACUGACCUGUUGGUUAAACAAUGAUCUUGAGGUUUCUUUUCUCAACCGUAUUAUAUGUUGAACCACCUGCGAUACCUGUUAUAGUCACCAUCCUUGAAACAACAUUUGGUGGACUAGAAGUCCACAUUCUUCAUGACUGUUGAGUAAUGUCCCUACUACUAACACCCUUUCAUCACUAUUACUUUCAUUGGUAGAAGUUGAAGAGGCACAUUCAGUGUUUUAUAUAUUGUUCAUGCCCACUAUCAUCUAAACCCGCCCUUCUUCCUUGUUCACCCCCUUCUUCAUCCAACUUCAAGCACAUCGGCGGAUAGCUUCUUCAAGCUUCCAACCAAAAACCCAUUCGACAACGAGGAUUAGGUCUAGCAAUGCUCAUCCUCUAGCAGAAGCACAACUACCUUGUUUUUGUUAUGCAAAUUUGUAGAGAGCAGAGCCGUAUAGUGUAAUCAAACGAUAACUUAUUUUAGUACAUCAUCUCACACACUUGAUUUGUUAGUGUGGAUUGUUAUUGUAGAAAGUAAACUUGUUUGUGGAUAUGAUGUCUAGAUUUAAUGAUUAUAAUAGUAUGGUGUGUUUAGUAAGUUACUAAGGUCCUAUAAAUUAAUAAAUAUAUGGUGCAAACUAGGUGCAUGUUCAUUUCAUCAUGGAUGAGUAUGCAUGAACCACCAUAGAUCAUUUGGUCGUCAUCGUCGCAUCAUACCACUCGUCGGUGGUGAUAAAAUGCCUAUCACCGUCAAAUUGGACCACUAAUCGAUGUUGAAGCAAUCAUCAACACCGCUGGUGUAAAGUAUGAUGUGGCAAAGAUCAAAAGAUCAUUACCAAUGAGUCAUUCAAUGAUAGAUUGUACUGUGAAGCAAUGAUGACCAUAACAUAUACACAAAUGGAUGAUUCUUCAAUGCGAUUGUGAUCAUGACAUAUGAAAGGAUCAAGAUGUCCAUGAAUUGGGCUAAUCUAAAAUUUCUUGCAAUAAUUAAAUCCUACCAAAUAUCCGACCUCACCUCUUAUACUUAAUAGUGUUUUCUAUUCUUCACAUAAAAGUUUUGCACCCAAAGUUACAACUCUAUUCUAGCAUGGAAAUUUUAAUAAUGUAAAUACAAUAAGAUAAUUGUAUGAAAGUAAAUGCUCAAAGUAAAAAAGGUUAGAAACAAGACAACAUUUUCUUGAUGUACUAGAGAGUUGACACUCCUCAGUAGUCCUCAUUGGAGCACAUGUACAAGGGUGUGGCUCCCCUUUUCGCGCAAGAAUCAAGUGUUAUAUAUAGGUUGUUUCUUCUCCACACUAGCAUGGUGAAUCAUCCGCAAUCAUUCGCACUCCAUCAACAAGUCAUCUAGGUGAUGUUGAUCGCUAAGAGUAAUAAGUACAAACUCACACUUGACUUAAACAAGUCAAAUGAUUAAGGUGGAGGCACACUUGCUACUCUCUAUGCACUAAUGAGCUCCUUAAUCUCGUGAUUAUCUAAUCUCAAACAGCCCACUAUGCAGAGGUUCUCUCUCUCUCUCUCCAAAGUGUUUCUUCAGCUAAACAAAUGGGCAAUAGAGCUAGAAUGAACGCGUUGGAGAGGUAUUUAUACUCCCUAACCGGCCAACUAGUCGUUACAACGUUUAUUGUGCUAAAUUCGUAAGCGUUGGAUCAUUUAGUGUUUCCUUUUAACGGGACUCAACAAUUAUAGUGACAUCAUUAUGUUAGAUAUAGAUGUUGGAGAACCUAUGUAGUUCGACAUGCUAAAUUCAUAUUUGGAAUAUCUUUAGAAGGUAUCAGUCUGGGUCACAAUGGUCUGAUACCGAUCAUAUUCAUAGGGUUUGACACCCCAUAGAAACACGGUAUAACGAUUCAUCACCUCUAACAACCCCAUAAGUAGGCGUCAAACUAUACUCAAUGGGUUGACGACCCCAUCUUCGUAAGGUUCGAUGGCCACUUAAUUCCUCAGUUCACUUCAAAUUCAAAAUCUCUGUAAAUGGAGUUUGUUUUAAAAGAUUUUUUGGGCCUCUUCUAAGAUAUCUAGUGCUAAGCUUGAUAAGUAUGCACCACAAGUAACAUAUUAGGCCCACCUGGAUCAAGCUACAAAUUUAUAGCUCUUUAAAGUACAACUAAAAGGAAAAACAAAGUACUAAAUUACUUAAAUAUCUUUCAACUCCAAUUAACAAUUUGGGCUAGUCCGUCAUUAAUCUUAUCAUCCAUUCUAUCAUUAGGGGCAUGAAAACCAUUGAUUGUUUAAACAACCACACAUGUUAAUCAUAUUGUAAUCCCGUGUCAUCAUAAAUCAUAAAAAUUUUCUAGAUGCUUUCAACAUGUACAUAGACGGCUUAUACGACUUCAAAGUAACUGUGAUCAUAACCUGCACAUAGACGACUUGUAAUUUAAAGCGACGUUGGUCAUGACCUGUGCACAGACGAUGAUCGAUAGGCAAGGUCCAUCUAUUAAUUCCAACUUCUUCACCCCUUUGAGUUUGGCUUUAUUUGGGGCAUACCAUCAAUGCCUCUCUCUCUCACUCUCCCCAUCCUGUAAUCGGAUGUAGGCAGAGGAUAUGGAGAACCAUGAGUAGGGGCUCAUCAUCUUGUUUGGGUUAGGGAUCACGGGCGAACGAGGAGAAUGGUCAGUUCCACAACAAGUGUGGCUCCACGAAGCUAACAUGAUAAGCUCGGCAACAAGCUUGGCUCAGUUUUUCAUUUUUCUAAUUUACAGGGAUGGGAAUUGUAACGUGCAAAUGUAUUACAUGGUUAAUUAUUCAGAAGGGGACGUCGUUGACGCCUCUCCAUGAAACAUGUCUAGUGGUCAGUGGAUGUGUUCUGGCUGCCUCUGCCUCUGAAGCUGUACUGUAGCAGUGUGAAUCCGGGUAGACAAAUUUCACAAGAAUUGGUUUACUAAACCAGCCUCGUUGACCUAAAUCGUCGGAGUUUCAAAUAUGACUGCAUACUAGAUACUUCAAUCUCUUUACAGAUUAUCCACAUGGUUAAUGUUAGGGUUUGUCUAACUUAGAAAGUCAUCAACGAUAAAUGAGAUUAGUUGAAUCGGGAGAGACCCAUGAAGUAGAGGAUGAUUAUGAGGAUAGUAUAGAGCUGACGAUCGAUCUUGAUCCCAAAAUUCUUCCAGUGGACACAGAUGGGCAAUUAAGUAGUCACUUCAGUUUACUAGAAUCAAUUGAUAAUCGAUGAAACAAUCAUCAGGCAUCUUCCUUUUUACAUAUGAUCUCAGUCACAGGUAGCGAGAGUUAAUGGACCCGAAAUCCUGCGCUUCUUGAUCGGCAGCGGGCUCUGCACCUCCUCCUCCUCAUCGACCCAUCGCCUCAUCCCAUCGCUCUCCGGCACAGGCAUCAGGUUGAGGUCAAAGUUCCUGACGGUGACGCCCGAUGACCCCGUCCCCGUACCCGUAGCGGACGUCGUCGCCGACAAGGAGACGGACACGGAGCUGCCGUCCCAGUAGUGGCAGCGCUUGUGCCCGCCGAGCGCCUGGCCCGUGGCGAACCCCCUCCGGCAGAUGGUGCACCGGUGCGGCCCACCCGACGUCGUCAUCGUCUCCUCGGAGUGGCCUGCCGCGGAACCCGCCGCCUGCUGCGCGGCGGCGAGAGCGGCAGCGUACUGCUCCCCCGUGGGCGGCCUGCGGUGGCUGGACUUGUGGCCGCCGAGCGCCUGGUAGGACGCGAAGGCCUUCCCGCGCACCGGAACCGGAGCUCCUCCUCCUCGCGCGCCGGCGGCGGCGGCGGGCACGACCACUGCUUACGACUGCCGCCGCCCUCCUGCCGCCCGAAACCAGCGGCGGCGGCGGCGGCCUUGCUGAGGCCGCUUCUUCCUCGGGUGCCCGAGAGCGCGGCGAGGCAGAUGGCUAGGUAGUCCUCGCUGUUGAGCUUCUUCAGCCCCAGCGUCAUCGUCGGCACUGGCACUGGCAGCGCGAGCGAGAGCGCGGUGGAGUGAAGAAGCGCUUCGAAACCGGCGGCCAUGGCUACCUUGCUGAUGGCGACGACAGGUUGUUGAGCACCAAAUUGAGUGCGCAGAACAGAUUAGGGUUCCGAGUUUUGUGCUACGGUUGUUAGCUAAAAUUAGGGGAUAAGCUCAGAAAUUUGUUUGUAAAGGGUCCAGCCCCCUCCUCUAUAAAUAGAGAGGUAUACGACCGAUUUGUAAUCAUCAAUCGAAUCAAUACAACUUCUAUUUCGCAUUUUAUCUUAAGAGUAGUUCUAGUCUAGUUUAGGUUUAGCUAUCCAAUCCCCAAAUUCUUCGUCUCUCUUCGACUCUACGUCGAUUAGAGGAGUCUAGAUCGGCCAGCCCGAGCCUAGACACAACCUAGGAUCUCUACUCCCCGACGGGGUCCCUCCCGGGAGCAAGAUCCAGGCGCCGUCGGCGAUCUUCCGCCGCCCCUGCGCACGCGCGGACCGUCCGGCCCUAGGGCGUGGACCGUCCGGCCGUCAGGCAGGGAACCCGGGUUCCUGCACCAGGUCGCGGACCGUCUGGUCCUGCGCCGCGGACCGUCCGCGCCUGACCAGAGAGCACCGCCGCCUCGCGCCAGGUCGUGGACCGUCCGGCCCUGUGCCGCGGGCCGUCCGCGCCUGACCAGAGAGCACCGCCGCUGGUUCUUUUGAAGUGAUUGGCGCCUCCAAAAAGGCGUCAACAUACUUUUUGGCGACUCCGCUGGGGACAACACAUAUAGACCUAUCAAAUCGGCCCUAAAUGGCCGGUUCAAAAGAUAGCUCUGAGGUUUCCACCAGCAAUAUCAUCACACCGACAUGGGAAGCCUUGCCGGCUGAAGAACAGCUCCUGUUCGAGGAGCGCCAGGAGCAGCUGAUCCAAGAAGCAAAGGCGAAGUUCCUGGCUGACUUCAAAGUGGACAGGAACAACAAAGUCGUUCGGCAACGGGCGACAGAUCUGGCUUCGCUCCGACCUACUACGAUUACCCCAAAUGUAAGUAGCACCAACGAACUCCAAUCUCUUAAAGCUUACAUAGACGAACACUGAGAACAAAUGCAAAAUAUCAUAUGGGUUAUGCAAAACGAUUGUAGGAGACUAGUACGUACAUUUGAUAAAUCUAGUAUAGCAAAUUUUCCUUCACACGAGGUUGAAUUAGGAGAUAAUACACGUAAUACAUCGGUUAAAGGUUGUCACGACCAGUCACAACCCCCUUAUGGGAUGCCGAUGGACACAUACCCUGAGCAAACGCAAAUCGGCAGUAAACCAGCCGAUCUACACAUGUCCGGACCGUCCGCUCGCGAGCGCGGACCGUCCGGGUCAGCCACAGUCGGGCCCAUUUUUAAUGAGUUACCUAGACACGCACCCGAGCCACCACAUAGGGCACCGAAUUUAAACUACCCAGUCGGACGGUCCGCAUACAACGACGGACGGUCCGCACAUAAUUACAGACGGUCCGGGCCAAUGUCCGGACAGUCCACAUAUGACCUUUUUGAGGAAGAUUGUUACUUGAAUCCUCACCCAUCCCAGCAACACUUCCCAUCACAAUAUGCAAUGCACCAGCCCAUUAAUUCAAGAUCUAGAGCCCAGGAAAACUUUCUGGCCCCACCCAGAGGGCCGGAAAGAAACAAUCAAACCUAUGGGCCAUAUAGGGUAAAUGGAAAUACACCAUGUAGCUCAAACCAAUGGGGAGAAAGACAACAUGCUAACAUUCAGCCGACCCCACCUAUGUUUGAUCAGAGAGCUGGUGGUCUCGCACCGGCUGCCAUUGAUAUAGUGAGGGAAGAAAUAGCCGGGGCGUUACGAGAUAAGCUCGGAGUAAGCAUGGUCCCUGGGGGGCAAUCAUAUCGGAAACCUUAUGACAGCCGAUUUGAUCACCACCCAUACCCACAGGGAACCAGGAUACCCGAAUUUGCAAAGUUUUCGGGUGACCAAGGAAAGAGCACGCGUGAGCACAUAGGCCAGUUCUUAGCACAAUUAGGAGAAUUGGCCGACACCGAAGCAUUCCGUGUGCAUUUAUUUUCAUUAUCUUUAACGGGGACUGCAUUCACAUGGUAUGCCACGCUCCCUCCUAAUUCCAUUUUGUCAUGGGGAGACUUAGAACAAAAAUUUCAUGAACAUUUCUUCUCUGGUGAUUAUGAGCUAGAUUUAGUAGACUUAGUGGCCCUACGACAAGAAAAGGAUGAAUCGGUUAGUGAUUAUAUCCGGAGAUUCUAGGGUACGAGAAACCGAUGCUUUCAAAUUCAUUUAACAGAUAAACAACUGGCGGGAAUAGCCUUUGAUGGAUUGCGCUAUUAUUUAAAAGAGAGAUUAGAAGGCAUCCAGUUCUUUACUUUAGCACAAUUACAUCAGAGAGCUUCGGCUUGUGAAAGCCGAAGCAAAGAACUAGUCAGAACGGUUCAUCAUAAUGUCCAUAUAGUAGAACACAAUCAAAGUAGUUCGGACGAUGAACCAAAGAAAGUUUACACUGCCGAAAUAGUUUGGCCCGAGCAGGCCAAAUCUUCGGCUUGCUCCUCCUUGCAGUCAGUUCAAAAGGAACGACAGGAGGAGGUUAAGUUUACAUUUAAUGUCGGCAAAUGUGAUAAGAUAUUCGAUGAAUUACUAAAAAAUGGUAACAUUAAGAUCGAUUAUACCGCCCCACCCGCCGACGAACUAAAGCGUCGCGCAUAUUGCAAGUGGCACAACUCAUUUUCCCAUGCCACUAAUGAUUGUAAUAUGUUUCGACGACAAAUCCAAUCGGCCAUUAACGAGGGACGAUUGAAAUUUCAGGAGGACAUGGAGCCCUUCCCAAUGAAUGCUGUCACACCCGGUUUUAGAAGGCAAACCGAAUGCGAACCAUGUACGUGCCAGGAUCAGUUAUUCACGUACACAGCAGUUACAUAACAUGGACAUCAUCACACAGUGCUCAAAAUAGUAUUAAAAGGGAAAUAGUCGAUUACAUCAUACGUCUGAGACGUCCAUAUAGUCCUUACAAUAAAUCAAAGUGCGGAAAAGAAACGUAGAUAACCGCGGCCUUCACAGGCAGCCGACUGGGGGUUGCCGCUAACCCACACCUAGAACUCGUCGUAGUCUUGGAACUCCUGGAAGUCUCCUUCCACAGCUUGAUCUUCGCCUGAGCAGUGGUUGCAAUGCUGACAACCUGGGGAUGGGGGGGUUUGGUGUGUAGAGCAAGGGUGAGUACAAAUCAACAUACUCAGCAAGUAUCAUGUUUGGCUGUAGUGGACUAGCUUUAUGUGGGGAUAAGUCAAGCAGUUGCUUUUAGUUGGUCAGAUUAUUAUUUACUAAUAGAAAGCCAGGUUUUAGCUUUAACCCAAGUUAUUAGCCCGAUGUACCCUUUCCAAACGGAAAGAAUACCACUUACCAGCAUCAUAGUCAUAACCGAAACCAUCAAUCUCAUAGCCACCUGUACCAAAGUAUCUCUGAUCAAGUACCACUAAUCACUGGAGCUCCCUUGGCCGCUCAUAACCGCGAGCACGGCUGAUAUAUCAGUUUUCAAACACUCUGCAGAGGUUGUGCACUUUACCCACAAGCCGUGAUUCCCAUUCUGCCCGGAGAUCAUGACUCUCCAUUGAUCACUACCAAGGUGACCCAGCAUGGCAUCACUACGUAGCCUUUACAAAGAUUCCCCGGGGCUGUAGCCACCCGUUAGGUUUCCUAAAUGCACCGCACUCCUCCCCAAGGGGCGAACCCAAACUUGGCAGAGCGAGCCGCAUACACCGAGCCCCAUUGACGGCACGACGGCUAAGUGAACUACACCCCGGAUCCUCUAAUUAUUCAGCUAAGGGCAUCCCAUUCCACCCUCAUGGUUGCACUGUUUCCUGGGCGGUCAUCCAUAGAACAGGUCCUUACGGAGAGGCACUCGAGAAACCGCUCGAGCCCUCUUGAUGACCACAAGUACAACAUCACAAUAAGAGAAGGGAAAACAGCGUAUCAUAGAUAAUCUCAUCAUGUUCAUUGAUUAGAGUUUGAGCAAUAGCAUAAAGCUAAACAAUAAUAAUCCAACCCAAAUAGGUAAACAAGGACAUGGAUAACAAAAGCUAGUCAAUCCUUAGGUAUAAAUGUGUAAAGCGGGAGGUGAAUUAAAUAAUGAAUAGGACAGAGAUAGGUCAAGGGACACUUGCCUCCACCAACCGACUGCUGCUCAGGGGCUUCUCCUGCGAGUUCCUCGGGCUCUUCGACCGGAUCGUUCUCUAUGCGAUUGCAAGCAUACAUACAUUCAUCCAUUCAAAUUGGGAAACAAACAGUACAUCAUACAAGGGAACAAAUAAAGUAAAUAUGCAUCAAGUAUGACAUUCGAUAUCGCAUUCAUUAUGGUUAGAAAGAAACGGGAAAAGGUCUCGCGGGGGCGUUAAAGCUUAUGCACUAAUGAUUAGUUACAAUUGGUUCUAACCAAAGAAUUUAGUUAUAUGCACUAAUGGAAACCUAGUCAUUUUUAGUUGAUCAACAUUGAACUGGAUAAACAAUUGAUUAUAUGAAUUAACUAGCGUAACGGAAUUCUAAAUUAAGUUUCCUAUUUCAAUAACAUGAACAAUGAUUAGCCUGCCUAAAAUAAAAUAAAUAACAAUAAUAAAAGAACAUGAAAUAAAAUAAAAUAAACAAUAAAUAAAUAAAAAGGGGGGCGGUUGAACCGGCCAGGGGGCUGUUGAACCGGCUUGGGGCAGGGGCGGCUGGGCAGGGCGCGGGCGCGGGGCGGCCGAGCUGGGGCGGCUGGGCAGGGCGCGGGCGCGGGGCGGCCGAGCAGGGGCGGCCGAGCUAGGGCGGCUGGGCGCGCAGGGGGGCGGCCGAGCUGGGGCGGCUGGGCCGUGGGCAGGGGCGGCCGAGCGGCGGUGUGGGCGGCCGAGCCGGGCGGGCACAGGGGCGGCCGAGCCGGGCGGGCACAGGGGCGGCCGAGCGGCGGCUGGGCGCGCGGGCAGGGGCGGUUGGGCCGGGCGGCGGCCUGACCGUGGAGAGGGAGGGUAGUGGAGAGGGAAGGGAGAGGGGAGGGCUCACCGGGGACGGGGACGGGGCGGCCGAGCGGCGGUGCGGCCGAGCUGCAGGGGGCGGCGGCUAGGGCAGGGGGCGGCGACUAGAGAGAAAAUGGGAGAAAGGGAGGGAGAGAGAGGGAUUUGUGGGGGAAGAGGGAGGGGCGGCUGGGCCAGCUAGGCCCAAAGGGGGCGCGCGGGGGGGGGGGGCUGGGCCGGCCAGGGGCGGCUGGGUCGGCCGGGGCGGCCCACGGCGCGGGAGAGAGAAAAAGGAGGAGAGAGAGAAAGAAAAAGAAAAAGAAAGAAAAGGUUUUUCUCCUUUUCGAAAUCCGAUCUUCCUAGAUGAAUGCACUUACAUUUCUAAGCAAUCAAAGAAUGCAUAGUUCGGCAAUGGUGCAUCAACCAACAUAAAGUAAUUUAGGGUUUUUCUUUACACGGGAAUUCCAAGCCGAAUCCCGCUAACUUUGGAAAAGAUCAAGGUUUAGCGAGGGAACGAGAAAAGAAAAGGGUAACGCCUGAAUUUGGUGAGAGAAAAGAAGAAAAAAUUCUACCCCCAAAUUCAGGGCGUUACAAGCCUAUCCCCCUUAAAAGAAUCUCGCCCUCGAGAUUCAGGGCUGGCUAGCAAAGAGCUCUGGGUACUUGGCCAUCAGAUCAUCUUCACGCUCCCAGGUUGCUUCUUCCUCAGAGUGGUGAUUCCAUCUGACUUUGCACAUUCUGAUGGUCUUCCUUCGGGUGACUCUGUCUGCAACCUCAAGGAUCUGCACUGGCUUCUCAACGUAGGUCAAGUCCUCCUGGACUUCGAGACCCUCCACUGGCAACUGCUCUUCUGGCACACGCAAGCACUUCUUCAACUGAGACACAUGAAAGACAUCAUGCACAGCAGACAAAUUCUCGGGCAAACUGAGCUGAUAGGCCACUUCUCCACGUCUUGCAAGGAUCUGAUACGGACCGAUGUAGCGGGGUGCUAGCUUGCCUUUGACUCCGAACCUUCUGACCCCUCUGAUCGGUGACACUUUCAGAUAGACAAACUCUACGACUUCGAAACUCAGCUCUCUUCUUCUUGUGUCUGCAUAGCUUCGCUGUCUUGAUUGCGCUAUCUUCAGAUUCUCUCAGACCAUCUUGAUGUUUUCUUCAGCUUCAAGCAGAAUGUCUGGCCCAAACACCUGCUUUUCUCCAGGCUGAUCCCAUUGCAACGGAGUUCUGCAACUCCUUCCAUAAAGCGCCUGAAAUGGUGACAUCUUCAAACUGGCCUGGUAACUGUUGUUAUAGGAAAACUCUGCAUAGGGCAAUCGCUUGUCCCAUCCGGACUGAUCUUGCAACGCACAGGCUCUCAACAUGUCUUCAAGAAUUUGGUUGGUCCUUUCGGUCUGGCCAUCUGUCUGCGGAUGAUAAGCUGAACUGAAAUUCAGAUGCGUGCCCAAGGCUUCAUGCAACUGCUGCCAGAAAUGGGAGGUGAACUGCGUCCCUCUGUCUGACACUAUCUUCUUUGGCACACCAUGAAGACAAACGAUCCGAGACAUAUACAAUUCUGCCAAUACGGCACUGCUAUAGUUGGUCUUGACAGGUAUUAAGUGGGCUAACUUGGUCAAGCGGUCCACUACUACCCAAAUGGAAUCGUAACCGGCUCGAGUGCGAGGCAAUCCGACUAUGAAAUCCAUAACAAUUUCAUCCCAUUUCCACUGAGGGAUCUGCAACGGUUGCAACAAUCCAGCAGGUCUCUGGUGCUCUGCCUUAAUUCUUCGACAACUAUCGCACAUAGCCACAUGCUCUGCGAUUUCCCUCUUCAUUCCGUACCACCAGAAUUUCUUCUUCAGAUCCUGAUACAUCUUCUCACUGCCAGGGUGAAUCGAAUAAGCUGUCUCAUGAGCUUCCUUGAGAAUCAACUCCCGAAUGGACUGGACAUUGGGAACACACAAGCGGCCUUUGAACCAUAUCACGCCUUCUGCAUCUUCUCGAAAAUCUUUGCCUCUGCCAUCUAGAAUCAGUCGCCGGAUCUCACUGAUUUUCUCAUCAUUCUUCUGCGCUUCUUUGAUUUCGCGCUCUAAGGUAGGUUCCAACUCAACUGUGACUCCUCGCGAAUUGUUCAGAAAUCCGAGACUCAACCUGUCGAACUCCUUGGCCAACUCAUAAGGCAUUGGACGAGCGACCAUCAGAUUGACUUGACUCUUUCUGCUCAAAGCAUCUGCCACUACGUUUGCUUUGCCUGGAUGGUAAUGAAUCUCCAACUCAUAAUCUUUGAUCAACUCUAACCAUCUUCGCUGCCUCAUGUUCAACUCUGACUGAGUGAAUAUGUACUUCAGACUCUUGUGAUCUAUGUAAACAUCGCAUUUCUGUCCAUACAGAUAGUGCCUCCAUGACUUCAGUGCGUGAACCACUGCUGCCAACUCUAGAUCAUGGAUUGGGUAGUUCUUCUCAUGAACCUUCAGCUGUCGGGACGAGUAAGCCACAACUCUUCCCUCUUGCAUCAACACACAUCCCAAACCUGUGUAACAAGCAUCGCAAUACACCGAGAAGGGCUUGUGCACAUCAGGCAAGACUAGGACAGACGCUGUAGUCAACUUCUCUUUCAGCGCUUCAAAGGCCUCUUGACAUUUCUGGGUCCACUUGAACUCAACUUUGUUGCCUAGCAACGCUGUCAUUGGUUUCGCAAUCUUUGAAAAUCCUUCAAUGAAUCGCCGAUAAUAUCCGGCCAUUCCAAUGAAGCUCUUGAUUCCUCGAGCAUCUGUUGGCGCUUUCCAGUUCAAAAUGUCUGCCACUUUCUUCGGAUCCACAGCCAAUCCUUCUUUGUUGAUUAUGUGACCCAAGAACAGGACUUCACUGAUCCAGAACUCGCACUUGCUCAACUUUGCAUACAGCUGGUGCUCUCACAAUCUCUGCAAUACCAUCCUCAAAUGAUCUGCGUGCUCUUCCUCGCUUUGAGAAUAAACCAGAAUGUCAUCAAUGAAUACCACCACAAAAUUAUCAAGGUAAUCCAUGAAUACACUGUUCAUCAAGUUCAUGAAGAACGCUGGCGCAUUGGUCAAACCAAAAGACAUCACUGUGAACUCAUACAAACCAUACUUGGUAAUGAAUGUCGUCUUCGGAAUGUGCGAAGGUCGGAUCCUGAGCUGAUGAUAACCUGACCUCAGAUCAAUCUUGGAGAACACACUGGCUCCUCUCAACUGGUCGAACAGAUCUUCUAUUCUGGGCAAGGGAUAUUUGUUCUUGAUCGUGACCUCAUUCAAAGCUCGAUAAUCAAUACACAUCCUCUUAGUGCCAUCUUUCUUCUCCACAAAUAGGACAGGGGCGGCCCAAGGCGAGGUGCUUGGCCGAAUGUAACCUUUCUCUGACAGCUCAUCAAUCUGCUUCUUAAGUUCAACCAACUCUGGUCCGGAUAUUCUGUAAGCUCUCUUGAAGAUAGGGGCGGUUCCAGGAAGAAGCUCUAUAGCAAACUCAACUUUCCGCUCUGGUGGCAUACCCGGUAAGUCCUUUGGAAACACAUCUGGGAACUCGGACACAACCUUGAUACUCUCAAUUAGGUCUGCUUCACUGCUAUCAACAGCUAUCUGAUAACAACUUCCUUUCUUUGGCUCAGGCGGGACUAACUCGGUCACCACUUCCUCUCCUAGUGGGGACACCAACUUGAUUGUCCUUUUAUCACAACUGAUAACUGCCUGAUACUUAUCUAGCCAAUUCAUCCCUAGGAUGACAUCUAUUCCCUGAGUACCCAUUACUAUAAGGUUGGCGGGAAACGCUAUCCCCCUUAUUUCCACACUUGUAUUCAAACAAAUGCUACCGGCUCGAAUUCUACCACCGGCUGAGUCAAUUUGAAUGGGGGUUGACAUAGUAGUAAUUGGAAGAUUAUGUGCUUCUACCCAUGGUGCAGUAAUGAAAGAAUGUGUUGCUCCAGUAUCAAAUAACACUUCUGCAAUAUGGGAGUCGACUGGGAACAUACCUACUAUCAUGUCGGGGGUCUCUUGAACUGCUUCAGCCUCCAAGUGGUUCAGCCUUCCAUGAUUAUAGCGCGGCUGAGAGCGAUUGCCUGCUCCAGGCUGAGGUCCACUGAUCUUGCGCUUACGAUCCUCCAUCUCCUUACGCUUUCUCUCUGUCAUGAUUGCUCUGUCAAUCAGGUGCUGAAAUGUCGGGAAGGUAUGAUUCAUCAGUUGGUACUGCAGAGGGUCAACCAAGCCUCUCAGGAAACGGUACUGCCACUUGGCGUCGGUGUUGACAUCUUCAGGAGCAUAGCGAGACAACUGCAGAAACCUGUCUCGGUACUCACUGACAGACGAUGACCCUUGCUUGAGGGCCAGGAACUCCUCCUUCUUCACUGUCAUUAGACCUGCAGGUACAUGGUACUGAUGAAAGCUACCUCUGAACUCUUCCCAGGUGAUGGCGUCAGGGUGGGCAUGGGUGGCGAGGUAAGACUCCCACCAUGACUGGGCUGCUCCUCUCAACAGACGGGGACCAUACAGGACUUUCUCCCUAUCAUCGCACUGAGCGGUAUGCAACUCCCGCUCCACAGUGCGCAGCCAGUCUUCAGCAUCCAUGGGGUCAGAAGAAUGAGCGAACGUUGGUGGAUGACCUCUCAUGAAUUCAGCACGCUUGUCUCUGGGCAUCUGAGGCAUCUGAGGCUGAGGUGGGGCCUGCUGCUGUUGUUGCUGCUGCUGCUGAAUGGCGGCCAAAGUCUGACCGAUGGCUUGAACUGCCUGAGUCUGCAUCAGAAACAUCUGCUCGAUGGACAUCGGGGGCGGGGGUGGCAGAUGCUGCUGCUGGGGCACCUCCUCCUGUUGAGCGGCUCGCUCCUGCUGAGCACGCCUUCCUCCUCUGCGCCUGUUCUCUGACAUCUGCAGAAUGCAACCACACAUCAGAACUGAUCUGGCAAAUCUUGCAGCAUAAGAAAAGAGUAUAGAAUUCUUCAACAGCACUGAACAGAUGAGCAUCUUCACUGAUCUCCAACACAGACCACACAGCUUCUCAGAUAAAGAGGAAAGUGGAAUAAAAGGUUUCCCAACUAUAUAACUAACUCCAUUAACAUAAUAGGUAAACCAAAAUGCAGGGGAUACCCACACUCUGGUGACAGUCAUUACAAAGAUCCAAACCAAACAUAGUUCAUCAUGACAAACAUAAAUGCACAGGAUAUAGCAAACUACCCUGUCUAACUAAGACUAACUAAGACCGAGACUAACGCUAAGACUGUAGCUUCUACGUAUGUAUAUUUCGUAUUAAUUACAAGAUCCAACUCUAACGAUCUAUGGUUCUAGAUUUAUCUUGGUCUUGCAGUCGGGGUUGCCAUAAGACUGGUGUCCACGCCGAGGUGAGCGGUACGGGUGCUGAGUCCCGACGGGAGCGGGGGAACCAUCUUCCAGGUGACGACGUUCCGCGCGCUCAGCCCGCAGCAGGGCGAUCUCAGCACGAGCCCUACUCAGCUCGUCUAGUGCAUGGUCCAGCUCCGUGUUUAGCACGGCGGCUAGGUUGACUGUGCUGCUCAACCUAGGACUGCCCUCACCGACAGGUGAGACAAUCACACCUCCUGUGCUGCCAGAUGGACGGCGGGGGUAAUACUUCAGGUCAAGGCCGUCAGCUACCCCACCGAAAACCGAGCAGUAGUGCGAAAGCGCACGCCGUGCAGCAUCUUGCAUGGCUGCCUCAGCUGAGUCCCGCUCAGAGAUAGAAUAGUGCUCUGAGCAGGCCUCCGCACCCUGGAGACUGUUCUCUGGGCAGCGCACCAAACAGGUUGCCUCCCAGCGGUCCGGGUAGACCCCGCGACUAUGCUGGUAGACCACACAGCGAUACUCGAUGGACCAGGUAUGCCGGUUAAGUGCCCGACAUAGCAGGGUGUCGAGCGCAUCAUGGAAGUGACACCCGCGAGCAGCGUCGCGAGUGAUGGAUCGAGCAACCCAUCCUUCCGGCUCAGGGUUAGCAGAGAAGUCGGUGUCGUGGCUCGAGCUGUCGUCGCCACCUCCAUCGUCUGGGUCUCCUCCAGCAGCUACUCCAGAAGCUGGGGCGCCCAGUGGUGGUGCAGGGGGCGCCUCCAGAGGAAGCACAGGGGAGCAGCUCCUCACGGACUCUAUCUCCUGCUGGAGCGAGAAGGAAGAGCCCUGUUGCUCCUGUCGUCGACGUUCCUGCUCCUCAUGCAGGCGGUGGUGCAGUCUCUCCAAGUGGCUGGACUGUCUGGCCACGGGACGGCGAAGCGGACGCUCAGCAAGGCGGGAGGGUAAGAAGGGGAUGACGGACUUUCGUGCAGUGUGUCUAAGUCGAGCCAUCUACAAAAGACAUCGCAAGCAAAAGGGUGAGAACAGAAUUAAUAUGACCAGCAAGUAAUAAAUCAUAAGUAAAUGAAGGAUUAGAAUAAAACACAAUUUUCAGCAAGGUUUAUUAUAUAGUAGAACAUAGGUUUGGCCGGUAUGACCAACUUUUGAAGGGAUAUCAAAGUCAAGGCAGAGACAGAGGUCUAUAGUCCUUAGAACGACCAUUCUACUCUAGGUUAGCGGUCCUACAGUCAGCACGGCUUUGAUACCACUUAUGUCACACCCGGUUUUAGAAGGCAAACCGAAUGCGAACCAUGUACGUGCCAGGAUCAGUUAUUCACGUACACAGCAGUUACAUAACAUGGACAUCAUCACAUAGUGCUCAAAAUAGUAUUAAAAGGGAAAUAGUCGAUUACAUCAUACGUCUGAGACGUCCAUAUAGUCCUUACAAUAAAUCAAAGUGCGGAAAAGAAACGUAGAUAACCGCGGCCUUCACAGGUAGCCGACUGGGGGUUGCCGCUAACCCACACCUAGAACUCGUCGUAGUCUUGGAACUCCUGGAAGUCUCCUUCCACAGCUUCAUCUUCGCCUGAGCAGUGGUUGCAAUGCUGACAACCUGGGGAUGGGGGGGUUUGGUGUGUAGAGCAAGGGUGAGUACAAAUCAACAUACUCAGCAAGUAUCCUGUUUGGCUGUAGUGGACUAGCUUUAUGUGGGGAUAAGUCAAGCAGUUGCUUUUAGUUGGUCAGAUUAUUAUUUACUAAUAGAAAGCCAGGUUUUAGCUUUAACCCAAGUUAUUAGCCCGAUGUACCCUUUCCAAACGGAAAGAAUACCACUUACCAGCAUCAUAGUCAUAACCGAAACCAUCGAUCUCAUAGCCACCUGUACCAAAGUAUCUCUGAUCAAGUACCACUAAUCACUGAAGCUCCCUUGGCCGCUCAUAACCGCGAGCACGGCUGAUAUAUCAGUUUUCAAACAAUCUUCAGAGGUUGUGCACUUUACCCACAAGUCGUGAUUCUCAUUCUGCCCGGAGAUCAUGACUCUCCAUUGAUCACUACCAAGGUGACCCAGCAUGGCAUCACUACGUAGCCUUUACAAAGAUUCCCCGGGGCUGUAGCCACCCGUUAGGUUUCCUAAAUGCACCGCACUCCUCCCCAAGGGGCGAACCCAAACUUGGCAGAGCGAGCCGCAUACACCGAGCCCCAUUGACGGCACGACGGCUAAGUGAACUACACCCCGGAUCCUCUAAUUAUUCAGCUAAGGGCAUCCCAUUCCACCCUCAUGGUUGCACUGUUUUCCCGGGCGGUCAUCCAUAGAACAGGUCCUUACGGAGAGGCACUCGAGAAACCGCUCGAGCCCCCUUGAUGACCACAAGUACAACAUCACAAUAAGAGAAGGGAAAACAGCGUAUCAUAGAUAAUCUCAUCAUGUUCAUUGAUUAGAGUUUGAGCAAUAGCAUAAAGCUAAACAAUAAUAAUCCAACCCAAAUAGGUAAACAAGGACAUGGAUAACAAAAGCUAGUCAAUCCUUAGGUAUAAAUGUGUAAAGCGGGAGGUGAAUUAAAUAAUGAAUAGGACAGAGAUAGGUCAAGGGACACUUGCCUCCACCAACCGACUGCUGCUCAGGGGCUUCUCCUGCGAGUUCCUCGGGCUCUUCGACCGGAUCGUUCUCUAUGCGAUUGCAAGCAUACAUACAUUCAUCCAUUCAAAUUGGGAAACAAACAGUACAUCAUACAAGGGAACAAAUAAAGUAAAUAUGCAUCAAGUAUGACAUUCGAUAUCGCAUUCAUUAUGGUUAGAAAGAAACGGGAAAAGGUCUCGCGGGGGGGUUAAAGCUUAUGCACUAAUGAUUAGUUACAAUUGGUUCUAACCAAAGAAUUUAGUUAUAUGCACUAAUGGAAACCUAGUCAUUUUUAGUUGAUCAACAUUGAACUGGAUAAACAAUUGAUUAUAUGAAUUAACUAGCGUAACGGAAUUCUAAAUUAAGUUUCCUAUUUCAAUAACAUGAACAAUGAUUAGCUUGCCUAAAAUAAAAUAAAUAACAAUAAUAAAAGAACAUGAAAUAAAAUAAAAUAAACAAUAAAUAAAUAAAAAGGGGGGGCGGUUGAACCGGCCUGGGGCAGGGGCGGCUGGGCAGGGCGCGGGCGCGGGGCGGCCGAGCUGGGGCGGCUGGGCGCGCAGGGGGGCGGCCGAGCUGGGGCGGCUGGGCCGUGGGCAGGGGCGGCCGAGCGGCGGUGCGGGCGGGCACAGGGGCGGCCGAGCGGCGGCUGGGCGCGCGGGCAGGGGCGGUUGGGCCGGGCGGCGGCCUGACCGGGGAGAGGGAGGGGAAGGGAGAGGGAAGGGAGAGGGGAGGGCUCACCGGGGACGGGGACGGGGCGGCCGAGCGGCGGUGCGGCCGAGCUGCAGGGGGCGGCGGCUAGGGCAGGGGGCGGCGGCUAGAGAGAAAAUGGGAGAAAGGGAGGGAGAGAGAGGGAUUUGGGGGGAAGAGGGAGGGGCGGCUGGGCCAGCUGGGCCCAAAGGGGGCGCGCGGGGGGGGCUGGGCCGGCCAGGGGCGGCUGGGUCGGCCGGGGCGGCCCACGGCGCGGGAGAGAGAAAAAGGAGGAGAGAGAGAAAGAAAAAGAAAAAGAAAGAAAAGGUUUUUCUCCUUUUCGAAAUCCGAUCUUCCUAGAUGAAUGCACUUACAUUUCUAAGCAAUCAAAGAAUGCAUAGUUCGGCAUGGUGCAUCAAACAAAAUAAAGUAAUUUAGGGUUUUUCUUUACACGGGAAUUCCAAGCCGAAUCCCGCUAACUUUGGAAAAGAUCAAGGUUUAGCGAGGGAACGAGAAAAGAAAAGGGUAACGCCUGAAUUUGGUGAGAGAAAAGAAGAAACAAUUCUACCCCCAAAUUCAGGGCGUUACAAAUGCGAUCGACUUUAAGAGCAAAAAGGUCCUAAUUCGGCCCAACACAGCCGAUAAGGGCAAAGACAAAGAAAUCAUCAUCGGCAACGCACGGAAGGCCGAUGGAAACAACAAAAUUUCUUGCAGGAAAGUGAUGGCCGAGAAGACUCCUGAUGGAGGGGAGACACUGAAGGUGACCAUCACAAGCUCCAGCACUGGUGGGCAAGCGCAGAUAAAGGGACAUGAGCGAGAACUCAUACUACGCAUCGUGGACGGUCCGGUGCCCAGGCGCGGACGGUCCGUAACAUUACCGGACGGUCCGGAGCAUUCCAGCGGACGGUCCGGCAACUCCGAAGAGCCACGACGACCACGUACCUUCAAACCACGACGACCAGAAAUAGGUACGUGGAAAACUAACACGUUCAAGGCAACUGGUCGGUUGGUAAAAUCUAGCCCGACCUUUGAUCAAUUAUUGUCUAAAUAUGUGAAAAGGAAGGCUGGCCCCAGUGACCGGCCACCAAAGGGACCUCGCUUACCCACCCAGGUGCGACGGCAGGUUAGGCCGAUUGGACCACCACACCAAUCGGAAAGGACGGAAGGUCAUAAUGUUCAAUUAAGACCUAACGUACCUACAUGGACACCUCCACCACUAUAUCCACCUAUGUCAUAUCCAUACACAUACAUACCUUCACCAUAUGUCCCAAAUCAAAUGUGGGGCAUGCCACCAUACCCAUUUGGGAUACCAUAGUACCCCGCUUGGGGGGCACCCCAAACAUCUGUAUUCAAUAGGUUGACACCUCCAGUACAAGACCGAUUGAGAACCCCUCAAUCUGGUCCACGAGCACAGGCCCAACAAGAUUGCCGAACAACUCUGCCCCAAAGGCUGACUAAUCCGGCAGGGGGGCAUACAGCUACAACCUCCAACAGUACGAAAAAGGGAGAUGUCAUUAAAAUAGGAACAACAGAUGUCGUCGUACAACAAAAUAACGAAGGGCCGAUGAUUUUUGGUGAAUCGGCCAACACAAACAAAAAAGAAAGUACGACUGUCAAUAAAAUAGCUGAUCCAAAAUACUCCAUGCCCCGAUGGUGCCCAUCGGGACUGACACGAUCGCAGAAGCGAAAAUUACAGCGCCUCAGAGCAAAGGAGAAUCAGGAAAAAGAGGCAGAAAGAAUAUUCAAUGACACGCAUCCGCAUUAUCCGCCACCACAAAAGAGAUGGAGACCAAAGGCCGUUGAGAAAAAUCAAAUGGCCACAAAGAUAGUAAAUAAAACGACAACUGUGCAUCUCUCUGCAGGUAUGGUAGACUGUCCGGCUAUAAAGGCCGGAUCAUCUGCACAGGACGCAGAUCAUCCGACCCCUGAGGCCGAACCAUCCGCACUACAGCAAGACACCUCCGACGACGUACCGACGCCCAUGGAGGAAGACGACCUGCAAGGAGAAGACCUGGUCGACUACAGAGCUACGCCAGAACACUUAGAGAAUUAGGAAGGCAAGGUGACGAAUUGGUCAGGACCAGUAUGACGCUCGGCGAUGUUGGGACUGACAGUUCGAUCAAAUCUAAAGGGAUCACGUCCGUUGAGUCAACCAUCGAGACCAAGACCACUGCGUACCAUCCUAGUAAGUGGCAAGAUGCCUAAGAAAACCGAUUUGAUAACAUCGAGUUAGUUGCUUUUGGUUCGCUCAGCUCCACCAAAAGGCAGGGGGGCAUAUGUUGAGCAUCAAAUUGAGCGCGUGGACGGUCCGGCCCUGAGGCCGGACGGUCCGCGGUCCGGACAGUCCGCGCCUGUGGGCCGGACGGUCCGCGCGUGCGCAGAACAGAUUAGAGUUCCGAGUUUUGUGCUACAGUUGUUAGCUAAAUCAGGGGAUAAGCUCGGAAAUUAGUUUGUAAAGGGUCCAGCCCCCCUCCUCUAUAAAUAGAGAGGUAUACGGCCGAUUUGUAAUCAUCAAUCGAAUCAAUACAACUUCUAUUUCGCAUUUUAUCCUAGGAGUAGUUCUAGUCUAGUUUAGGUUUAGCUAUCCAAUCCCCAAAUUCUUCGUCUUUCUUCGGCUCUACGUCGAUUAGAGGAGUCUAGGUCGGCCAGGCCGAGCCUAGACACAACCUAGGAUCUCUACUCCCCGACAGGGUCCCUCCCGGGAGCGAGAUCCAGGCGCCGUCGGCGAUCUUCCGCCGCCUCUGCGCACGCGCGGACCGUCCGGCCGUCAGGCAGGGAACUCGGAUUCCUGCACCAGGUCGCGGACCGUCCGGCCCUGCGCCGCGGACCGACCGCGGCUGACCAGAGAGCACCGCCGUCUCGUGUCAGGUCGCGAACCGUCCGGCCCUGUGCCGCGGACCGUCCGCGCCUGACCAAAGUGCACCGCCGCUGGUUCUUUUGAAGUGAUUGGCGCCUCCAAAAAGGCGUCAACACAGGUGAUGAGGAGGAAACUAUAGUUAGCUGUCGGCGCACGUCUUUAACGUUCUCGGACUUCUAGGUCUUAGGCCUGUGCUGUGCGGGGUGAUAGAGCUGGAAUGGAAGACGGGUGGAUCGGAUCGGAGUCGGAGUUCGGAGAUUGGAAGAGGGGUGGCUUUAUAGGGACAGC